GGUUCUUCCUGAAUUGUACGAUUCCUUUAUAUCUGCAAUACAGAAGAAGGGUAACAUAAGAAUAGCGCCGAAUAAAAUCAUGGCUGCUGCUCCACACCUGACUCCUGGUGCGCUUUUGAUUGGAGAUGCACUCAACAUGCGGCACGCUAUAACCGGAGGGGGAAUGACUGUUGCUCUGUCUGAUGUCGUAAUACUUAGGGAUCUUCUAAGACCCUUGCAUGAUCUAUCCGAUGCAUCCACCAUUUCAAAAUAUCUCGAAUCUUUUUAUACCCUGAGGAAGGUAUUGUAGUUUCAUGUUUUAUAUGCAUUUUGAAAGUGAAUGGCAAUGAUGAAAACGGUAUAAUUUUGCCCUUUAACUACAUGCAGCCAAUGUCAUCUACACUAAAUAUACUGGCUAAUGUCCUACAGAAGGUAUUCAGUGCCUCGUCCAAUCCAGCAAUGAAGAAUCUGCAGCACACCUUUUUGGGGUAUUUGAGACUUGGAGGGAUGUUUUCAUAUGGAGCAUCCGCUAUGCUCUGUGGUUUAUGCCCUUCUUCAUUAAGCUUAGCAUUUCAUUUCUUUUCCAUUGCAAUAUAUGGCGUUGGCCGAUUGUUACUUCCAUUUCCUUCUCCCAGGCGUUUGUGGGAUGGGGCUAAAUUCCUUUGGGUCAGUAUCUUUACCAAACAUUUAUAUAAUAACAUGAUAUAAAUAUAUAAGAUCUUAAAUAUGAUUAUUAUAUAGAAUCAUAUUAAUAAAAAUAUUUUCAUGUUUUUCAGAUGGCAUCAAGUGUUCUUCUCCCCUACAUAUACUCUGAAGGAACCAGACAAAUGUUCUUCCCUCUAACUGUGCCAGCAUAUUAUAGAACUCCCCCUGAAAAUAAGGACAAAAAAAACUUCAUGCAAUAAUUAGCAGCAUUUGUUGGAACAAUUCUAUGUUCAUAACAAAAUCUCAUACAUCUGUUACUUGCAUUCUUAAGUAGGUCUUAAGACAAUUGGACGCAUGUGUAGAGACAAUGACGCAUCAAAGCUAAAAUAAGAAAAUAGAUAAGGUAAGUCUCGAGAGACAUUAAUUAUUAAUUGUUGUAUAUUGAUUUAAAUGUUUAUGGUAAGUAAAUAAGGUAAGUGUUAGCAUUUUUUAUAUUGAAUUGUGAUUUAUGUGAAAUUGUGAUUUAUGUGAUAAUUGAGUAUUGGAUAAUUAUGGCAUUAGAAAAGUGAACUAAAACUCUGUUAACUGUAUCGGGCUGAGUUGGAUAUAGAUGGCAUGCCAUAGGAUUAGAAGAGUUUAGGGAUACUUCGACUUAGAGUCGAUGAGACACUGGGUGUCAAAUUAUUACUUCGGCUAAAUUCGAUGAAAUACUGGGUACCAAUUUACUUCUGCAUGGCCGAUGAGACACUGUGUGUCAACUUAUUGCUUCGAAUUAUCCGAUGAGGCACUGGGUGCCAAACUGGUGUGUUUUGGUUGGAUUCGUGUAUCCGUCCGAGUCCGUGUCAUGUUAAUAGGGGUUACUGAAUAAAAUAGUGUUAUGAUUGAUAUUGAGUGGUGAUUUGAAAUAUGGUUAGAGACACAUGAUUUGUGUAUUUAUGAAUUGAAUAUGAAUGAACAAUAUUGUUGUUCAAAUGAUUUGUGUUCAUAUUGUGAAAAGCAAUCUGGGAUAGCAAAUGAUAAAAUUUGAAUGUGUUAUAAAUAUCUUAUUUAUGAAUUGAAUAAUUGUAUGGCUAUAGUUAUUGUAUGUUAUAUUAUUUUACUUUUAAGCAUUUGGAUUAUAAAAAUACCACUGAAUUUAUACUCAGCAUACGGUUUAUUUUCCGUGCGCAGGUUAGGUUAAAGUCAGAUUGUCGAUUCAGCAUCCAUCAACGAUCCCGAGCUUAAAACGUGGUGAUGUAUAUUUCUUUUUGUGUCGGCAUGUACCUAGGAUGUCUUAUGCUUGUCAUUUUGGGAAGUGAAUGUAAAUGAUGUUAUAAGAUGAUAUUGGUUACUUAUAUACAUAAUUAUACGUGUUAAGUUGAGGUUUAAUGUGGAAUGUUUAAGUUGAUGCAUAAGUGAAUGUGAUAUAGGCAAAUUUGGGUUGAAAUUGGUAUGAAUUUAGAAUUGGAUUAAUUGGUGUUUUAUUUGAUUGUUUUGAUAAUAUAUGUGAAGUACCUAUGAUGGUACAUUGGUUAGGAAACUAGGAUGAUUGUUUUGACAUGUUUUAAAGUGAUUGAACCAUUGGUUUUUUACUUGCUUGGUGUUCAAGGUUGCAGGGAAGGGUAAACUUGAUGUUUAAGGUUCAUUUUGCGUCCACACUGCCAGACACACGGGUGUGUGGCUGGACCGUGUGAGACGCACGGCUAACACAUAGGCGUGUGUCCCCUGUUUCUUUGAAAAUUUUUUAUGUUUUCGAAAAAAAUUCCUGGAGUACUAUUUGAUUUAGUCCCGAUUUGUUUCUAACACAUAUUUUAAGCCUCGAGGGCUCAUAAAAAGGACAAUGUGAUUAAAUUAUAUGUUGUGUAUGCUAGAUGAUUAUAUAAUGUUCAUAUUUGAUCUGAAAAGUCCGAUAUGCUCCGUAACCCUGUUUCGGUGACGGAUAAGAGUUAGGGAGUGUUACAUCCUCUUUCCAUUCUUCCACUUUUCCACUCAACUAAGCACACCUUAAGGGUGUAUAUGGGUGAGAGAUUUGUAGGAGGGCUUCAUUUAAAUUAAGGUUUCAAAAGUCUAAAAAUGAAUUUACCUUUUUCGGGUAAAUAUAUUGAAGAAUUUAAAAUUUUGUGAGUAAUUUCAAGAAUGAAUUUUAAUAGCUCAAAUUCCUUUUUUAAUUCCGCUUAAAUAGGUGGUUUUUCGAAAUCUCUAACAAUUUUAAUUGAUUUAAUACACAUGGUUCGGCUAUAAAAUAAAAACUUAAACCUCAAAAUUUAUUUUAUUUAAUUAUAAUAUAUUUUUUAAAAUUUUAUUGUAUUAAAGUUAUUUAUAAAUUUUUACAAAUAUAAUGAUUUUCAUAUUGAAUAUUGUUUAUAUUAUUUAUAUUUAAUAUAAUUAUUCUUUUUAUAAUUAUUUUCUAAUUUGUAAAAUUCCAUUAACCUAAAUUUUUUUGUAAACCAAUUAUUUACCCCAACAAAAUAACCACAAAUACUAGCAUUUUAAAUAAUCUAAAAAAAUUCUAAUUAUAGGUCUCAAUCAUAUAUGCACUUUUUGACACAAUGCCUAGAACUACCCAUAGUCCCUCCCCAGCUCAUAGAUAAAAGGAUAAUACGUUUUAGCAGACUCGAAAUCACGUCUUUCUCCUCAUGCCAAUUGAAUUAAGUUUCAAUCGACAAUUCGAUACAAAUUUAAGCAUAUAUUUUUUUUAUAUUUAUGUCAUAUGUUUGCUCUUUUUAUUGUGAAAUUAUUUUAAUUCUGGUUAAAAUUAUUUCACUUUAAGAUAAUUUAUGUGUUGUAAUUAUAUUUAAUAAUUAUUAUUUAUAAAUUACAAUAUAUUAUUAAAUGCAAGUAGUUUGAUUUUUUUUUUUUUAUCUUUUUCAAUUGCGCGGAGUGGGGCUACUUCUAUUCAACCAUCUAUCACAUCAGUUUUAAGUAAAAUUAAAUUAAAUUAAAUUGUUUUUUUCGAAAAAUUAAAUUGAAUUGUCUUUUUCUCUUUGAUUUUCUCUUUGUCUUUUAGCAAUAAUAGCUUUUCAAGGCUUAAUUUAAUAAGACGUACCCGGGUUGGUUUAGUUUUUUAAAUUAUCUUUUCAUUGGUUUGAAUAUUUAAUAGGCUUAAUUUAGUUGGCAAGUUCUUAAGCUUGGUGGUAAUGGGUUUGAAUGAAGGAAUUCUAGUUGUCAAUCUUUGCUUUCACUUUCUCCUUAAUCAUCUACUUGCUAGAUGGUUUUGGUGCAGAACAAAUGAAAUUCAUAUUCGUUUAUGUGAAUAAAAUAAUCGUUUAUUUUUUCAAAAUGCGUAAAUAUUUUGAUUUUCAUAAAAUAUAACUUUAUGAAAAAAAAAAACUCAACUAUUACAUGUGAAAUUUAAAUUAAAUUAGGAAGGACCAACAAUUGAUUGCUCAUAUAAAUAUCUUAUUUUUUCAGAUUUUUUUUUUCCGAUUCGGAUUCAUCUCUCGUGAUAAAAGUUGAAGUAAAAUUAUUAGUUAUUAAGGUGGAGGCUCGUUCUCACCUGUGCAAAGGGAUAAGCCACUGACAUGACAGCAUCCACAACAGAUGACAAAUUAAAAAUUUAAAGGCGUGAAGUACAAAAACAGGCGCUGCUUCUUCACUCACCAUUCAUUGGACCCCUUUCUUAAAUAAAUGCUGUUCUGCUUGAUUAUCCUUUCCAUACAUUGUUCUUAAAUCAAUGGCUGAGCAGUAUAUAGUUGGAGUUGCAGGUGUUAUAGCCUUUCUUUUGGGGUUUGUUUUCUUAGUGAGAUCUUGGGGGCUGAGCAAGCUGAAAAGAGCAGCUUCAAUGGAAUUCCCAAAGGAAAGCUGUGUAAACAAAAAUGGAAAUGGUGAGGGUGAGGGUGAGGCUGUUGGCACUACGGAAAUUAUCAUAGUCGGUGCUGGUGUUGCCGGUGCUGCUCUUGCCUAUUCUCUUGGAAAGGUCCCAAUUUUUACGCUCCUUUAUUUUAACUUUAUAGUAUUAAGUUCGGAGUUGGGAUAAUAAUAGUAACCAACUUUAAAGGUAGGUUUGGAUGAGCGAUUGAGUGCAGUGCGGUGUGUUUAGUUUAUUUUUUGUCUCACGCUACAGUGUCUAAUAUUACCACCACCGCUGUUUUUACACUAACCGCAGGCAAACGCACCGCCCAUCCAAACUCAUCCUAAAAAGAUAAUUUUCAGUGGCCAAGCCACUAAGAGAUUCGGGGAGUCAAGGCCAAAGGUCUAAAAUUUUUCAAUUUCUUUUUUAUAUACAUGUAAUGUAAUCACCCUCCCAAAUAUAAAAAUAGAUUUUUCUAAUAUUUUUAUAGUAUUAUAAAUAAUAUUAAAAUAUUUUUUAUUAUGAAAAUUGUUAAAAUAAGAUUUCGUAACAAAAUAGAGGAUAAGUUUCUUAUAAAUAAUCUUGUUCUUUAUUUUAAGAGAUGUUGCCGAAACUUUUAAUCUAAACUCUAUAUUUAAUGAUUUUAUUUUUUUGAAAGAACAUCGUGCACUAAUCAUAUGCUAUUUCUUCUUGAUUGUUCUUUUUAAAUAUGUAUUUAUAUAAUCUUUUUUAAUUUAUAUAUAUUUAGAAAUAUAAUAUGGAACAAAAAUUUUAUAUAAUUCUUUGUAGUGUAAUUAACAUAAAUAAUAUUUGUUAUAAUAUUUUUUUCGUAGCACGUCUAAUUUUAGCUUGGCUCUUUCAAGAUUAAUAUCCUGAUUCUGUCACUGUUCAUUAUUUUAAAAUAAAUAUAAAAGAUACUUUAAUAUAUGUCAAACAAUAAAAUAAAGAAUUAAAAUUCCAUCUUAGGGUCUGUUUGAUUGACGUAAUUGAUUUUUCGAAAAAUCAUUUCUAACUUUUCCAGCGUUUGAUUGGCGGAAAACAUUUUCCAUUUGGAAAAUGAACUCCAAAACAAGGGAAAAUGGGUUACAUUUUAGGGAAAAUGUCUUACCCUUUCAAUUUCCGUAAGACAUUUUCCGUGCUCUCCUCUCUAUCGCCUCCUUCAUUCCUUCCUUCAUUUCCGGUAGAAAAUUGCUUCUGUUUAUCGAUUUUUCAGUAACUUCUUUUUUUUAAUUAUUCAAUACUUGUUUUUUAACACAAUUACAAAUAAUUUAUUUGAUAUUAGUUUUUUUCAAUUUAUAACGAUUAAUAUUGUAGCUUAAUAAUUGAGUAUUAUUAUAAAUAAAUCAUUGCAAUAUAUGUAAAAACAAUUUAAAAUAUAAAAAUUUAUUAAUACAUAUCAAUAUAUGCAAAAACAACUUUUCCGGAAAAUAUUUUCAGAAAAUCUGCCAAAUAGCAAAAAAUAUUUUACACAGAUUCAAUCAAACACCAGAAAAUAUUUUCCAGUAAAUCAUUUUACAGAAAAGUAAAACAUUUUCCAGAAAUCAUUUUACGGAAAAUAUUUUACUGGCAAUCAAACAGACCUUAAUUAUAUUUAAUGUAGAAAUACAUAUAAAUAUUUACUAAAUAGAGAUUUUUAAAAAUAUUGUAGAGGUGGAGAAUGCUCCAUUUAGCGUCAAUUAACAUCAGUUUCUGUCUUCAAGUUUUCAUAAGAUCCUUGAAAAAUGGAUUUAACUAUGAUGUUAUACCUAAUAAUUUUUUUAUAAUUAUAUAUUGCAGGAUGGAUGUUGAGUGCAAGUGAUAGAAAGAGACUUAAAUGCACUUAAUAGAUUUGCUGGCGAAUUAUUAAUGCCAGGAGGCUACCUCAAGUUAAUUGAAUUAGGCCUCGUAGGUAAAUAAGAAAAUUAAUGGAAUAUAAUGUUACAAUGAUAUUUCUUUGUAUAUUUUUAUUUAUUUAUUUUACAUUAAAUGUUGGCAAUACAGAUUGUGUAGAUGAGAUUGAUGCUCAACAAAUUUUAGGUUAUACUCUAAACAAGGAUGGAAAGGAGGCUCUCAUAUCUUUUUCAUUGGAAAAGUUUCAGUCUCAUGUUGUAGGAAGAACCUUCCAUAAUGGUCGUUUCGUUCAAAGACUACGAAAGAAAGCCGCAUCUCUUCACAAGUACUUUCUCUCCUUCCUCCCAAUCAUUCUUUAAUUUCAAUAUAAUAUUUUAGAACAUUUAUCUUAAUGGAUUAAAUGACUUGUAGUUGUUUUGAUCCAUUACUUCUAUUUAGACCUAUCAAUUGAGCUCAUUCAGUUGAUUUUGGUUUGAUCAAUCUAGAUAAAUCACUCAAGUUUUUAAACUAACACAUCAUUUUGGUUUUUAUCACUUUAGGCUAAGGAUUAUUUUGGGUUCAGAUCAUUUCAUGUGUAGAUUUGAGUCAUUUUGGGUUCAAACAUUAGAGCUCCAGGUUAUAAUUUUUUGAGUCUGGUCAUUACAAUUUAAUAUCGUUUUGGUUCUAGUCACUUCGAGUUUGGGUCCUUUCAAGUUAAUUUUUGAAUCAUUUUGGGUUUGAGUUGUUUUAAGUUCAAGCUAGUUUGGGUUAGGGUAAAUUUUUGUUAAAGUUGGAGGGACUCAAAUUGUGGACCCUUUAUAGUCAAAUCAAAUUGGAUCAAAUUUAAGUUCCAAUUGAUCGAGUCAAAUUUUUAAAUUCAAGUCAAAAUUGACAUGUUUGGUUCUUUUACUAUUACUUUGUUUCAACUUGUUUUAAUCAGAAAUUAUGCCUCUCUUUACAAGCUCCAAAUUCAUGUUUUGAUGAUAUGAUAACGCAGUGUAAGUUUAGAACAAGGGACAGUAACAUCUCUACUUGAAGAAAAUGGUAUUGUCAAAGGAGUGCACUAUAAAGAUAAGAGUGGUCAAUUGCUAACAGCUUAUGCUCCUCUCACCAUCGUCUGUGAUGGUUGUUUCUCGAAUUUGAGACGCUCUCUCUGCCAUUCUAAGGUGAAAAAAAUGCUUACAUAUAUACUCUUGUUAAAUUGGUUUAAUUCUUAUUUUAGUCACUCGAUAACGUUAAAAAUUUGAGAUUUAGUCCUAUUUUAUUGUGCCAUAAUUUGAUUCCAUUAUUUUUGUGAUGAUAUUAGUAUGUCAAAAUAGAUCAGUUGCUUUUAUUAAAGAAUUGACUCAUUUUUUGGUCAUAUAGUCCAGGUCACAUUGAAAUCAAGUCAAUUAGGUUGAACCAAUAAUGAAAUUACAUGUUACUCGAAUGUUAGUUAGUUUUAAUAGAAAUCUAUGUCAUUAUUUCAAUGUAACAAUUAACGAUGUCAUCAAUUUGGGCCUACAAUAAAAGUAGAGAGACUAAAUUUUGCCAAAUUGAAAUAGAGGAAUAAAAUUCCAAUUUCAGCUUGGUAGAGGGAUUAAAACCAUAAUUAGACUUAAAUUAUAUGCUUUGAGAAAAUAUACAUAUAAAGGUCUCGAUUGUUUGUGCAGGUGGAUAUCCCCUCUUAUUUUGUUGGUUUUAUCUUGACGAACUGUAAAUUUCCAAAAGAAAAAUAUGGAGCUCUUAUAUUAGCAGAUCCUUCACCUAUCCUAUUUUAUCCCAUUAGUAGCACUGAAAAUUCGUUGCUUGGUGGAUGUUCCUAGUCAAAAUCUACCCUCUGUUUCCAAUGGUGAAAUGGCUCAUUACUUGAAAACUUUGGUGGCUCCCAAGGUAUAUUUAUAUCUUUCUUUAAUCGACUCAUUAAUGGAAUUUGGUUGAACUUAUGGACUAACUAUAUGAUCUAUGAUACAUUUCAGGUUCUUCCAGAAUUAUACAAUUCCUUUAUAUCUGCAAUAGAGAAGAAGGGCAACAUAAGAAUAAUGCCGAACAGAAUCAUGGCUGGUGCUCCACACGUCACUCCUGGUGCUUUUUUGAUUGGCGAUGCAUUCAAUAUGCGGCAUGCUAUAACUGCAGGGGGAAUGACUGUUGCUUUAUCUGAUGUUGUGAUACUUAGGGAUCUUCUAAGACCCUUGCAUGAUCUAUCUGAUGCAUCCGCCAUUUGCAAAUAUCUUGAAUCCUUUUAUACUCUGAGGAAGGUAUUGUAAUUCAUGUCCUAUAUGAAUUUUUUAAAGUGAAUAAAAAGGAACAAAAAAUGGCAUAAAUUUUCACUUUUAACUGCAUGCAGCCAAUGUCAUCUACGAUAAAUACACUAGCCAAUGUUUUACAUAAGGUAUUUAGUGCCCCGUCCGAUCCUGCAAUGGAGAAUCUGCAACAAACAUUGUUGGGGUAUUUGAAACUUGGAGGGGUUUUUUCAUCUGGAGUAUCAGCUCUGCUCUCUGGUUUAUGCCCUCGUCCAUUAAGCUUAGUAUUUCAUUUCAUUGUCAUGGCAAUGUAUGGUGUUGGCCAGUUGUUACUUCCAUUUCCUUCUCCCAAACGCUUGUUGGAUGGGGCUAAACUCCUUUGGGUCAGUAUCUCUAGCAAUGAUCAUUUCUCAUAUAUCAUGAUCACUAACACGAUAAAAAUAUAUAAUAAUUUUAAAAUGACGUUAUUUUUUUUUGUUUUUUCAGGUUGCAUCAAGUGUUUUUCUCCCCAUUAUACACUCUGAAGGAGUCAGACAAAUGUUUUUCCCUCUAACUGUGCCAGCAUAUUAUAGAACUCCCCCUAAGGGAAAAAAAAUCUGAGAGGAAACUCCAUGCAUCUGUAGUGAACAAUUCUAUAUAUAUUCGCAAUAGAUUUUCAUAUUUGUUUCUAGUUAGCAUUCUCAAGUAGGCUUAAUGGUCGUUUGUACUCAUACUAUUUUUAUGUGUCUUGUGUAAAAUUCUAAAUAAAGGUUUUGUAAUUCUUGUGUUGGUGUUAUUUUUAUGUAUCUUGUUUGAAAUAUUGAACUAACGCGUUAGUAUUUUUAAGUAGGUUCAAUAAGCAUCCUAUUCGUAUUGUUUUUGUUAAUAUAACUUAUUCAUGAGUUCAUUAAUAUUAAUAAGUGUGUAGCGAUCUCAUGAGUUUGGAAAGCUCUUUGGGAGAGAUUUUGCACAACUUGAGUGUAUAUCCUAAAGCAUUUGUUGCGAUGGACAGGAUUUUUCUAGAUAGAGCUUUGAUAUAGGUGACUUGAGUGGAAAUAUCUAUCCAAAUUUUGCACAAAUUUACGACCAAGUGAAUAAAGUUGAGUUUAUGAUGCAUUUUCGAUAAAAUAUCUUUUUAGCUAACUGGGCGGCAAAAGUGACAUUAAAUAUUCCAGAAAAGAUCUUUGAUGCACUCCCCAAGCGUAUAGCAGAACUUCCCCCGGCAAUACCAAAAAAUAAGUUAAUUUGUCUUUUCCCUUGGUUUUUUCUCCAAUAAUAAUUUAUCCUUUUUGUUUCUGCAUUACGUGUGGUGGAGGUACAUCUAUCAUAUUUUUGUCAACUUUUUUGUUUUUCCAUUACGUGAGGUGGACAGCGGCCAAACUAUGGGACUCCCUCACUUAAAAUAGAAAAUUUUUUAUUUAAAUUUUUAAAAUUUUUAAAAUUUUAAAUUAAAAAAAUAAAAUUGUACUUUGAUGUUUUUUAAAGUUGAUAAAAAUUUAAUUUAAUUUUUUAAAAAAUUAUAAAGAUAUAGGCUAUUAAAAUAGUAAAAUUAUAUUUUUAUUGUCAUAAAAAUUACAAUUUAAUUUCGACCUUCUAAAUUUUUUUUGUGACAUUCGGGACUAAACUGAAUAAAUUAAAAGUUGUUAAGAAAUUAUGCCAUAGACUAAAAAUACAAGGUCUCUAACAUGAAAGUAUAUGAAAUCAGAUUUUGAUUCAAUACUAAAGAUUGAAAAGUAUGAGCAUUUCUAAUAUAGGGAAAAAUGAAGAAAAUACAAAAUAUAUUUGAUUAUAUGUUUAUCAUGUGGUUGAGUGAAAACUAAAGCUAUUUUAUAAUUGAAUUAUCGAACGUAGCUAAAAACAAUGUCAGGCCGUCCUAAGAUAAAGGAAAUGCAAGAAUCGAAGAAAGUAAUUAAUACGAACUAAUACGAUUUGUACAUUCAUGAUUCAAAUUCAAUAUUUGCAAACUAAAUUGUCUCAUGGUUUGGUUUGUAUUUCAAUACUAUUGAACAUAUGUUUGAUCUUUAGAUUUGUAAUUUGUAAAUGUUUAAUUUAAAUAUGAUAUAAAAGUAUGAAAAGUAAAAAAAAAAAACGUGAUGAUAAUAAUAUUAAUUAUAAUUUAAAAGAAGAGAUAUUUUAUUAUUUUUAUUUCACUUUAAAAUAGAUCUGAUUUUACGAAAAUUUGAAACAAUAGAGAACUAACCUAGUAAAAAGUAUACUUUAUACUUUAUAAUUAAUAUUGUUUGAUAGAGAGCUGUUCUAAAAGUAUCACAAAAAUUAUCGAAUUAUUUAUUUUAUAUAAAGAAAAACUUAUAACCACUAAAUACAUAUUAAUAAAGACCUAAUAUUUAAUCAAUAUGAUAAAAAUAUCGAAUCAAUUUAAAAUUGUACAUGCAUAAGAACCACAUUAUUUAUAUCGAUAUAUUCAUUUUAUAAUUAUAUAAAAGUUUGAGUAAAACUAUUAGCUUUACAGGUGGAUCUCAGAGGCGAAGUAAGAAAAUUUUUAAGUGAAAUUAAAUUAUAUAUUUUUAAGAUAAUAAAAAUAUAAUUUUACUAUUUUUAAUAGUCCAUACUUUUAUAAAUUUUAAAAAGUUAAAUUAAAAUUUUAUCCUUUAUCAAAUAUUAUUAAUUUAAAAUUUUAUAAAAUAUCUGGUGGAGUACUGUGAUUUUAGUUGCCACUUGUGCAAAGGGAUAAGCCACUGACAUGACUGCAUCUGCAUCCAUGAAAGAAGCCAAAUUGAAUUGUAACUUACUGCUCCUUUACGCUAAGAAUUUUUUCAGAGACGUGGAAGUACAAAAACAGGCGGUGCUUCUUCAUUCUUAUAUAAAUGCUGUUCUUCUUGAUUAUUCUUUCCAUACAUUGUUCUUAAAACAAUGGCUGGGCAGUUUAUAGUUGGAGUUGCAAAUGUUAUAGCCUUGCUUUUGGGGUUUGUUUUCUUAGUGAGAUUUUGGGGGCUGAGCAAGCUGAAAAGAGCAGCUUCAAUGGGGUUCCCAAAGGAAAACUGUGUAAACAAAAAUGGAAAUGGUGAGGGUGAGAGUGAGAGUGAGGGUGUUGGGACUGCAGAAAUUAUCAUAGUCGGCGCUGGUGUUGCCGGUGCUGCUCUUGCCUAUUCUCUUGGAAAGGUCCCAAUUUUUUAUCACCUUUAUUUUAAUUUUAUAGAAUUAAGUUUCGACUUGGGAUAAUAAUAGUAUUGAACUCUAAAAGGAUCUUGGAGCCACAUACAUGACUCUCCCAACUUUUCCAAUAUUUUUGUAGUGAAAGAGAUUGUUUUAAUUUUUUAUUUAAAUUUUAUAUUUAGUAAUUUUAUUUCCUUAAAGGAACAUCGUGCACAGUUUUAAGUAGGUCUGCUCAUGACCUGGUCCAGCUCAAAAGCCCGCUCGAAAAAUAGAAGAUUUAGGUAAAAAUAUAGGCUCAAAAAAUGAGCUUGGGAGAAAAAUGCCCAUUUAGAAAACGGGCUAAGCCUCAAGUAAGGUUUUUUAGCCCGGCCCAAAUAUGUAGUUUUUUUUUUUUACAAUUUUUUUCUAUUUUCUUGUUGUUGUUUUUCACUAUUUUGCUACUAUUUCACUAUUAUGUCAUUAUUUUGUUGUUAUUGUAUAACUAUUGUUUUAUUGUUAAUUUUGUUAUUAUUUUAGAGGUAUUUGCUUGUUAAGUUGCACUUAUCUUAGUGUUAUUUAAGUAUACAUUUUUUUAAAAAUUUAUUUUCAAUUUGUUGGAAAACAAUUAUUUUAAUAUUUUUAAUAUUUUUUUAAAAAAAAUUAAUACAAGCGGAGCCCGGGUUUUAACAUUUUAUUCGGGCUAGGCUUGAGCAAAAUUUAAGGACCAUUUUUUGGGCCCGGGCCAAGCAAACGAGUCUAAAAUUUUGGUUUUGCCCGGCCAAACCCAUAAACACCUCUAGUUUUAAGUAAUCAUAUGUUAUUUCUUCUUAAUUGUUCUUUUUAAAUAUGUAUUUAUGCCAUCUUUUUUUAACUUACAUAUAUGUCUUUUUUGUAGUAUAACUAACAUACAUAAUAUACGUUACCAGAAAUAAAUAUAAAAGAUACUUUAAUUAUGACAAAUAAAAAAAUUGAAAUUCCUUCUUAAUUAUAUUUAAUGUAGAAAUACAUAUAAAUAUCUAAGAUUUUUAAAAAUAUUGUAGAGGUGGGGAAUGUCGCAUUUAGCUUCAAUUAACAUCAGUUUCUCUUCAAGUUACCAUAAGAUCCUUGAAAAAUGGAGUUAACUAUGAUGUUAUACCUAAUAAUACUUCUAUAAUUAUAUAUUGUAGGAUGGACGUCGAGUGCGAGUGAUAGAAAGGGACUUAAAUGCACCUAAUAGAAUUGCUGGUGAAGCUCUAAUGCCUGGAGGCUACCUCAAGUUAAUUGAAUUAGGCCUUGAAGAUAAAUAAGAAUAGUGGAUGCAAUAUAAUAUUUCAAUGUCAUUUCUUUAAAUAUAUUACUUUGAAUGUUGGCACUACAGAUUGCUUAGAUGAGAUUGAUGCUCAACGAUUUUUGGGUUAUACUCUAAACAAGGAUGGAAAGGAGGCUCUCAUAUCUUUUCCAUUGGAAAAGAUUCAUUCUCAUGUUGUAGGAAGAACUUUCCAUAACGGUCGUUUCGUUCAAACAUUACGAAAGAAAGUAGCAUCUCUUCACAAAUACUUUCUCUCCUUCCUCCCAAUCAUUCUUUAAUUUCAAUUUAAUAUAUUAGAACAUUUAUCUUAAUGGAUUAAAUGACUUGUAGUUGUUUUGAUCCAUUACUUUUGUUUAUGAGCUCGUCCAGUUGAUUUUGGUUUGAUCAAUUUAGAUAAAAUCACUCAAGUUUUAAAACUAACACAUCAUUUUGGUUUUUAUCAUUUUAGGCUAAGGAUUAUUUUGGGUUCAGAUCAUUUCCAGUUUAUAUUUGAGUCAUUUUGCUCCGGGUUUCAAAUUUUUGAGUGUGGUCAUUACAAUUUCAUAUCGUUUUGGUUCUAGUCACUUCGAGUUUGGAUCCUUCCAAGUUAAUUUUUGAAUCAUUUUGGGUCUGACUUGUUUUAAGUUCAAGUUAGUUUGGGUUAGAGUAAAAUUUUGUUCAAGUUGGAGGGACUCAAAUUGUGGACCCUUUAUAGUCAAAUCAAAUUGGAUCAAAUUUAAGUUCCAAUUGGUCGAGUCAAAUUUUCAAAUUCAAGUCAAAAUUGACAUGUCUGGUUCUGUUACUAUUACUUUGUUUCAACUUGUUUUAAUCAGAAAUUAUGCCUCUCUUUACAAGGUCCAAAUUCAUGUUUUUAUGAUAUGAUAACGCAGUGUAAGUUUAGAACAAGGGACAGUAAUAUCUCUACUUGAAGAAAAUGGUAUUGUCAAAGGAGUGCACUAUAAAGAUAAGAGUGGUCAAUUGCUAACAGCUUACGCUCCUCUCACCAUUGUCUGUGAUGGUUGUUUCUCGAAUUUGAGACACUCUCUCUGCCAUUCUAAGGUGAAAAAAAUGUUUACGUAUUCUUGUUAAAUUAGUUUAAUUCUUAUUUUAGUCACUCUAUAACGUUAAAAAUUUGAGAUUUAGUCCUAUUUUAUUGUGACAUAAUUUGAUUCCAUUGUAUUUGUGAUGAUAUUAGUAUGUCAAAAUAGAUCAGUUGUUUUUGUUAAAGAAUUGACUUACUUUUUGGCUAUAUAGUCAAGGUUACAUUGAAAUCAAGUUAAUUAAGUUCAACAAAUAAUGAAAUUACAUGUUACUCAAAUGUUAGUUUUAAUGGAGAUGUAUGUCAUUAUUUCAAUGGUAACAAUUAAGGAUGUCAUCAAUUUGGACCCACAAUAAAAGUAGAGAGACUAAAUUUUGCCAAAUUGAAAUAGAGGAAUAAAAUUCCAAUUCCAGCUUGGUAGAGGGACUAAAACCAUAAUUAGACAUAAAUUAUAUGCUUGGAGAAAAUAUACUUACAAAGGUCUUGAUUUUUUGUGCAGGUGGAUAUCCCCUCUUAUUUUGUUGGUUUUAUCUUAACGAACUGUAAACUUCCAAAAGAAAAUUUUGGAGCUUUUAUAUUAGCAGAUCCUUCACCUAUCCUAUUUUAUCCCAUUAGUAGCACAGAAAUUCGUUGCUUGGUGGAUGUUCCUAGUCAAAAUCUGCCCUCUGUUUCCAAUGGUGUAAUGGCUCAUUACUUGAAAACUUUGGUGGCUCCCAAGGUAUAUUUAUUUCUUUAAUCGACUCAUUAAUGGAAUUUGGUUGAACUUAUGGGCUAACUAUAUGAUCUAUGAUACAUUUCAGGUUCUUCCUGAAUUUUACAAUUCCUUUAUAUCUGCAAUAGAGAAGAAGGACAACAUAAGAAUAAUGCCGAACAAAAUCAUGGCUGGUGCUCCACACCUCACUCCUGGUGCUUUUUUGAUCGGCGAUGCAUUCAAUAUGCGGCAUGCUAUAACUGGAGGGGGAAUGACUGUUGCUUUAUCUGAUGUUGUGAUACUUAGGAAUCUUCUAAGACCCUUGCAUGAUCUAUCUGAUGCAUCCGCCAUUUGCAAAUAUCUCGAAUCCUUUUAUACUCUGAGGAAGGUAUUGUAGUUCAUGUCCUAUAUGAAUUUUUUAAAGUGAAUAAAAAGGAACAAAAAAUGGCAUAAAUUUUCACUUUUAACUGCAUGCAGCCAAUGUCAUCUACGAUAAAUACACUAGCCAAUGUCUUACAUAUGGUAUUUAGUGCCCCGUCCGAUCCUGCAAUGGAGAAUCUGCAACAAACAUUGUUGGGGUAUUUGAAACUUGGAGGGGUUUUUUCAUCUGGAGUAUCAGCUCUGCUCUCUGGUUUAUGCCCUCGUCCAUUAAGCUUAGCAUUUCAUUUCAUUGUCAUGGCAAUAUAUGGUGUUGGCCAGUUGUUACUUCCAUUUCCUUCUCCCAAACGCUUGUUGGAUGGAGCUAAACUCCUUUGGGUCAGUAUCUCUACCAAUCAUUUCUCAUAUAUCAUGAUCACUAACACGUUAAAAAUAUAUAAUAAUUUUAAAAUGACGUUCUUUUUUUUUUUCUUUUGUUUUUUCAGGUUGCAUCAAGUGUUUUUCUCCCCAUUAUACACUCUGAAGGAGUCAGACAAAUGUUUUUCCCUCUAACCGUGCCAGCAUAUUAUAGAACUCCCCCUAAGGGAAAAAAAAUCUAAGAGGAAACUCCAUGCAUCUGUAGUGAACAAUUCUAUAUAUAUUCGCAAUAGAUUUUCAUAUUUGUUUCUAGUUAGCAUUCUCACGUAGGCUUAAUGGUCGUUUGUACUCAUAUUAUUUUUAUGUGUCUUGUUUAAAAUUCUAAAUAAAGGUUUAGUAAUUCUUGUGUUGGUGUUAUUUUUAUGUAUCUUGUUUGAAAUAUUAAACUAACGAGUUAGCAUUUUUAAGUAGGUUCAAUAAGCAUCCUAUUCGUAUUAUUUUUGUUAAUAUAAAUUAUUCAUGAGUUUAUUAAUAUUAAUAAGUCUAUAGAGAUCUCAUGAAUUUGGAAGGCUCUUUGCGAGAGAUUUGGCACAACUUGAGUGUAUAUCCUAAAGCAUUUCUUGGGAUGGAUAGGAUUUUUCUAGAUAGAGCUUUGAUAUAGGUGACUUGAGUGGAAACAUCUAUCCAAAUUUUGCAGAAAUGGACGGCAAAAGUGACAUUAAAUAUUCCAGAAAAGAUCUUUGAUGCACUCCCCAAGCGUAUAGCAGAACUCCCCCGGCAAUACCAAAAAAUAAGUUAAUUUGUCUUUUCCCUUGGUUUUUUGUUUUUGCUUUACGUGUGGUGGAGGUACAUCUAUCAUAUUUUUGUCAACUUUUUGUUUUUCCAUUACGUGAGGUGGACAGCGGCCAAACUAUGGGACUCCCUCACUUAAAUAGAAAAUUUUUUAUUUAAAAUUUUAAAAUUUUUAAAAUUUUAUGUGGAAACCAUUUUUUUAUAUUUGAAAAAUGGGAAUUCAUUUUGAAAAUGGAGUCGCCACCAAUCUUUUAGGUGGUGUGAUCGGGUCACCUUAAAAAUGAUUUUAGGUCUACGAAUUUUGAGAAAAUAAGUUUGGGAGUAGGUUACGCACGAGGAAGGGUUAACACCCUCGUAACGCCAAAAUUGGUACCGAAUUAAUUAUUUAAUGUCUUAGUGUCGAAACUUGAAAAGAUUUUUAAAAACGAUCCCAUGAAAUGAAAGCUUAAAUAAUUGAACUGGCUAAAUAGAAGGACCUAUUUCAAAGAGAUAAAUCGCUACACUCAAUAAGUUAGAGUGCAACAAUUCAAUCUUUGAAGUUAGAUUCGUCUUUCUUUUUUUUAAUAUUUUUAAAAAAAUCAUAUGUUUUAAGAAGGAUAUUUGAUUAUUUAAGUCAAUCGAGAAAUCAGAAUCCAGUAAGUGAGGGUUCAAUUUCUCGAAAUUCUUAAACAUCAAAUAUUACCUUUAUUUUAAAAUCGAGAUAACAAAAUAUCAUAUCCAGUAAGUUAGGAUCCAACAUUUUGAAAUCUUAAGAACUUUAUUUUAACAAUUGUAUGGUUUUAAUAAAAUGAACACAUGUACACUAAAAAUAAUUCCAUAUAAAUUAUAUAUACGUAUAUAUAAAAGAACCAUGUAAUAUUAUUGUGAAAAUAAAAUUUGAGUUAUAUUAUGAAAUACAUUAUUUAAAAAUAAUAAGUAAUAUAUCAAAUUUUUAUAAAAAUAUAUCAAGAUUGAUGGAAACAAAUAAUAAUAUAUCAAGUUGGAAAAUAAAAGUGUACAAUAGAUAUUUUGAAAUAAUGUUUAAUAAAUUUAACAUAUAUUUGAUAAUAAUAAUUUGAAAGAAUUGUGUAUUAUAUCUUAAAAUUAUAUUAAUAAUAAGUUUGAAAAAAAUAUUAAGCCAAUAUUAAAAUAAUAGUAAAAAUAACGGAUUAAUAUAAGAAUUGAUUUAUUUUUAAAAAAUACUUUUGAAGGAAAAAUUAAAUAUGAAAAAACAUUUUUAAAAUUAACAACAAUAAUUAUAAUAAUAUCAACAAAUUUUAAAAUCGAAGCUUACAUAAAAUUAGAAUAAAAAAGGAAAACAAAAUUAAAUAAAUAUACAAUAGAGUCAAAAAUAUUGGUGUAUAAUGAAUUUAAAAAUAUAAAAUACAAGCUAAAAUAAUAAUUUAUUACAUUUUAAACUAUAAUAAUAAUAAAUUUAAACACUAUCAAAAUUAAAUAUUACAAAUAAUAUUAAAUUUUAUAAUAUAUGAAAGUAGGAUUAAUUACAUUUAAAAAUAUUAUUGAAUUAAAAAAGAAAACUAAAUUUGCAUUAAAUUGAAACCUAUUUCAACGUUGAAGGACUAAAUCAACAAUUAAAUGCAAAACCUGAAUAAUCAAAAUCAAUCGCAGAAAACGGUGCCGUUUAGGCUUGGAUCCAAAUGAAAACAGAAUUAAAUAUGCGGUACAAAUUAAAAAAAUUGAAGAAAAUUAGAUUGAAACUACAUAAAACAUAGAGGGACUCAUUUUGCAAAUAGACCAACGAACGAAAACGCGCGGAUCCUGCCCCGGGUCGGGUCACUGCGCUGAUACUAGCGUUAUACGACGCCGUUUUGAGACCACCAAGCCCGGCCUCAAACGACGCCGUUUCUAGUUAGACAUAAAAACUAAAAUAACCCUAAUUUAAACAGACUUUUCUUCCUAAAAAAAGAAAAGCAGGGACUUAAGAUGAACAGAUCCUCGGCGCCGCAUUUUGGAACCUACUGCUCAUGGGACCUUCAACCCUCGCCCGGCUCCAAUUGUGACGAAGCGAACGACGGUCAGGUAAGUUCCUCGCUCUUUUUUUCUUUUCUACUUCAAUAUUAAUCAAUGAACAAAGGAGCGGAAAAACAAAGAAAAGAUUAACAAUGACCUUUCGAAUCUUUUCUUUUCUCUGAAAAUGAGUUUUUUUUUUUUGUAUUCAAUUUCUCUGAAUGUGUCUCUGUGUGUAACUCCUUACAAAGGUUUCGCCUUUUGUUUUAUAGGCCGAAAAUAAAAAAAAAUGAAAUAUAAAAAUACAAUUUUCUGUUUUCUGCUAGUUGUUUGCUCUAUUUGCAGGUACGACGUACGGAGGGGGGACAUGGCGUGUACAGAGUGGCACGUGGCGGUGGCGUACGUGCGAGGGAAGGCCCUGGUGGCUGCAGCGCGUACGAAGGCAGAGUCUGGGUCUUGGUUGCUGCGGCGCUGGGAUCUCCUAGGGUUUCUGUAUGCUGCUUGGUGUUGGGCCGUCGGGCUAGGGUUGGCUAAUGGGCAUUAGGCUUAGUGGGUUUGAUUUUUGGGCUGGUAAUUUGGGGCUGGAGGGUUAGGUAUUGGGUUAACAGUUUAGGCUUGGGAAUUUGGAUUUUGUAAUCGGGUUUGGGCUUAAUGUAUUUUGGUUUGUAAUCUGGACUGAUGUUAUUGGACUUUUAUUAUAUAUAUUUUUUGUAUUUGGGUUUUAAUAUUCGUAUCCGGCCGGGCAAAUUAAUAAAAAUAAAAUUGUACUUUCAGCUUUCUUAAAGUUGAUAAAAAUUUAAUUUAAUUCUUUAAAAAUUAUAAAGAUAUAGGCUAUUAAAAUAGUAAAAUUGUAUUUUUAUUGUCAUAAAAAUUACAAUUUAAUUUCGACCUUCUAAUUUUUUUGUGACAUUAGGGACUAAAUUGAAUAAAUUAAAAGUUGUUAAGAAAUUAUGCCAUAGACUAAAAAUACAAGGUCUCUAACAUGAAAGUAUAUGAAAUCAGAUUUUGAUUUAAUACUAAAGACUGAAAAGUAUGAGUAUUUCGAAUAUAGGGAAAAAUGAAGAAAAUACAAAAUAUAUUUGAUUAUAUAUAUGUUUAUCAUGUGGUUGAGUGAAAACUAAAGCUAUUUUAUAAUUGAAUUAUCGAACGUAGCUAAAAAUAAUGUCAGGCCGUCCUGAGAUAAAGGAAAUGCGAGAAUCGUAGAAAGUAAUUAAUGCAAACUAAUACAAUUUGUACAUUCAUGAUUCAAAUUCAAUAUUUACAAACUAACUUGUCUCAUGGUUUGGUUUGUAUUUCAAUACUAUUGAACAUAUGUUUGAUCUUUAGAUUUGUAAUUUGUAAAUGUUUAAUUUAAAUAUGAUAUAAAAGUAUGAAAAGUAAAAAAAAAUUGUGAUCAUAAUAAUAUUAAUUAUAAUUUAAAAGAAGAGAUAUUUUAUUAUUUUUAUUUCACUUAAAAAUAAAACUGAUUUUACGAAAAUUUGAAACAAUAGGUUAUUAUAGAGAACUAACCUAGUAAAAAGUGUACUUUAUACUUUAUAAUUAAUAUUGUUCGAUAGAAAGUUGUUCUAAAAGUAUCACAAAAAUUAUUGAAUUAUUUAUUUUAUAUAAAGAAAAACUUAUAACCACUAAAUACAUAUUAAUAAAGAUCCAAUAUUUAAUCAAUAUGAUAAAAAUAUCGAAUCAAUUUAAAAUUGUACAUGCAUAAGAACCAAAUUUAUAUCGAUAUAUUCAUUUUAUAAUUAUAUAAAAGUUUGAGUAAACUAUUAGCUUUACCUGGUGAAAUAAAAUUUUUUUAAGUGAAAUUAAAUUAUAUAUUUUUACGAUAGUAAAAAUAUAAUUUUACUAUUCAAUUUAAAAUUGUACAUGCAUAAGAACCAAAUUUAUAUCGAUAUAUUCAUUUUAUAAUUAUAUAAAAGUUUGAGUAAACUAUUAGCUUUACCUGGUGAAAUAAAUUUUUUUUAAGUGAAAUUAAAUUAUAUAUUUUUAUGAUAGUAAAAAUAUAAUUUUACUAUUUUUAAUAUUUUAUACUUUUAUAAAUUUUAAAAGAUUAAAUUAAAAUUUUACCAUUUAUGAAAGAUUAUUAAUUUAAAAUUUUAAAAAAUAUGUGGCGGAUCCUUUGAUAUUUUUAUUGAUACAAAAAAGUAGAGGCUCGAGUAGAGUUCUGUGAUUUUAGUUGCCACUUGUGCAAAGGGUUAAGCUACUGACAUGACUGCAUCCAUGAAAGAAGACAAAUUGAAUUGUAACUUACUGCUCCUUUACGUUAAGAUUAAAAAACAGGCGGUAUGCUUCUUCACUCACCAUUGGUUGGUCCUGUUCUUCUUGAUUAUUCUUUCCAUACAUUGUUCUUAAAUCAAUGGCUGGGCAGUUUAUAGUUGGAGUUGCAGAUGUUAUAGCCUUUCUUUUGGGGUUUGUUUUCUUAGUGAGAUUUUGGGGGCUGAGCAAGCUGAAAAGAGCAGCUUCAAUGGGGUUCCCAGAGGAAAACUGUGUAAACAAAAAUGGAAAUGGUGAGGGUGAGGGUGUUGGCACUACAGAAAUUAUCAUAGUCAGUGCUGGUGUUGCCGGUGCUGCUCUUGCCUAUUCUCUUGGAAAGGUCCCAAUUUUUUAUCACCUUUAUUUUAAUUUUAUGGAAUAUAAGUUCCGACUUGGGAUAAUAAUAGUAAUGAACACUAAAAAGAUCUUGGAGCCAUAAACAUGACUCUCCCAACUUCUCCAAUAUUUUUAUAGUACUAAAAAUAAUAUAAAACAAAUUUAUUCAACUCUAAAAAAAUAAGGGUUCUUCAAAACAAAAUAGAGGAUGAGUUUUUUUAUAGAUAAUCUUAUUGUUUAUAUUGGGAGAGAUUGUUAAAAUUUUUUAUUUAGAUUUUAUAUUUAGUGAUUUUAUUUUUUUGAAGAACAACGUGCGCAGUUUUAAGUAGGCUUGCUCAUGAACCGGCCCAGCCCAAAGGCCCGCUCGAAAAAUGAGAGGGUUUUGAUAAAAAUAUAGGCUCGAAAAAUAGGUUUGAUCGAAAAAUGCCCGUUUAGAAAAUGGGCUAAGCCUCAAGUAAGGUUUUUCGGCCCGACCCAAAUAUGUAGUUUUUUUUUUGCUUUUUUUUUUCCUAUUUUCUUGUUGUUUUUCUCACUAUUUUGCUACUAUUUCACUAUUAUGUUGCUACUAUUUUUUUGUUAUUGUAUAACUUUUGUUUUAUUGUUAAUUUUGUUACUAUUUUAGAGGUAUUUGCUUGUUAAGUUGCACUUAUUCUAGUGUUAUUUAAGUAUACAUUUUUUAAAAAUUUAUUUUCAAUUUGUUGGGAAACAUUUAUUUUAAUGUUUUUAGUAUUUUUGAUGUAUUAUAUCUUUAAAGAAAAUUAUAUAAAAAAGUGAUAUAAAAAAUUAAUACAGGCCGAGCCCGGAUUUUAACAUUUUAUCUGGGCUAGGCUUGGGCAAAAUUUUAGGCACAUUUUUUGGGCUCGGGCCAAGCAAAUAAGUCUAAAAUUUUGGUUGGGCUUUGCCCGACCCAUAAACACCUCUAGUUUUAAGUAAUCAUAUGUUAUUUCUUCUUAAUUGUUCUUUUUAAAUAUGUAUUUAUGCUAUCUUUUUUUAACUUAUAUAUAUUUAGAAAUAUAAUAUGGAACAAAAACUUUAUAUAAUUUUUUGUAGUAUAACUAACAUACAUAAUAUACGUUACAGGAUUUUGUUUUAUGUAGAACGUCUAAUUUUAGUUUAGCUUCCUAAAGUUAACAUCCUCACUCCGUCACUGUUAAAUAUUGUAAAAUAAAUAUAAAAGAUACUUUAAUAAUGUCAAAUAAAAAAUUGAAAUUCCAUCUUAAUUAUAUUUAAUGUAGAAAUACAUAUAAAUAUCUAAGAUUUUUAAAAAUAUUGUAGAUGUGGGGAAUGCUGCAUUUAGCUUCAAUUAACAUCAGUUUCUCUUCAAGUUACCAUAAGAUCCUUGAAAAAUGGAUUUAAUUAUGAUGUUAUACCUAAUAAUUCUUCUGUAAUUAUAUAUAGCAGGAUGGACGUCGAGUGCGAGUGAUAGAAAGGGACUUAAAUGCACCUAAUAGAAUUGCUGGUGAAGGUCUGAUGCCUGGAGGAUACCUAAGUUAAUUGAAUUAGGCCUCGGAGGUAAAUAAGAAAAAUAAUGGAAUAUAAUGUUACAAUGACAUUUCUUUGUAUAUUUUUAUUUAUUUAUUUUACAUUGAAUGCUGGCACUACAGAUUGUGUAGAUGAGAUUGAUGCUCAACCAAUUUUAGGUUAUACUCUAAACAAGGAUGGAAAGGAGGCUCUCGUAUCUUUCCCAUUGGAAAAGUUUCAGUCUCAUGUUGUAGGAAGAACCUUCCAUAAUGGUCGUUUCGUUCAAAGAUUGCGAAAGAAAGCCGCAUCUCUUCACAAGUACUUUCUCUCCUUCCUCCAAAUAUAAUAUUUUAGAACAUUUAUCUUAAUGGAUUAAAUGGCUUCUAGUUGUUUUGAUCCAUUACUUCUGUUUAGACUUAUCAAUUGAGCUCAUUCAGUUGAUUUUGGUUUGAUUAAUCUAGAUAAAAUCACUCAAGUUUUAAAAUUAACACAUCAUUUUGGUUUUUAUCAUUGUAGGCUAAGGAUUAUUUUGAGUUCAUAUCAUUUCAAGUUUAGAUUUGAGUCAUUUUGGGUUCAAACAUUAGAGCUCCAGGUUCUAAAUUUUUGAGUCUAGUCAUUACAAUUUAAUAUCGUUUUGGUUCUAGUCACUUUGAGUUUGGGUCCUUUCAAGUUAAUUUUUGAAUCAUUUUGAGUUUGAGUUGUUUUAAGUUCAAGCUAGUUUGGGUUAGGGUAAAAUUUUGUUCAAGUUGGAGGGACUCAAAUUGUGGACCCUUUACAAUUUUUGAGUCUGGUCAUUACAAUUUCAUAUCAUUUUGGUUCUAGUCACUUCGAGUUUGGGUCCUUUCAAGUUAAUUUUUGAAUCAUUUUGGGUUUGAGUUAUUUAAGUUCAAGUUAGUUUGGGUUAGAGUAAAAUUUCGUUCAAGUUGGAGGGACUCAAAUUGUGGACCCUUUAUAGUCAAAUCAAAUUGGAUCAAAUUUAAGUUCCAAUUGGUCGAGUCAAAUUUUCAAAUUCAAGUCAAAAUUGACAUGUCUGGUUCUGUUACUAUUACUUUGUUUCAACUUGUUUUACUCAGAAAUUAUGCCUCUCUUUACAAGCUCCAAAUUCAUGUUUUGUAGAUAUGAUAACGCAGUGUAAGUUUAGAAUAAGGGAUAGUAACAUCUCUACUUGAAGAAAAUGGUAUUGUCAAAGGAGUGCACUAUAAAGAUAAGAGUGGUCAAUUGUUAACAGCUUACGCUCCUUUCACCAUCGUCUGUGAUGGUUGUUUCUCUAAUUUGAGACGCUCUCUCUGCCAUUCUAAGGUGAAAGAAAUGCUUACGUAUUCUUGUUAAAUUAGCUUAAUUCUUAUUUUAGUCACUCUAUAACGUUAAAAAUUUGAGAUUUAGUCCUAUUUUAUUGUGACAUAAUUUGAUUCCAUUGUAUUUGUGAUGAUAUUAGUAUGUCAAAAUAGAUCAGUUGUUUUUAUUAAAGAAUUGACUUAUUUUUUGGUUAUAUAGUCAAGGUUACAUUGAAAUCAAGUUAAUUAAGUUCAACUAAUAAUGAAAUUACAUGUUACUCAAAUGUUAGUUUUAAUGGAAAUCUAUGUCAUUAUUUCAAUGGUAACAAUUAACGAUGUCAUCAAUUUGGACCUACAAUAAAAGUAGAGAGACUAAAUUUUGCCAAAUUGAAAUAGAGGAAUAAAAUUUCAAUUUCAGCUUGGUAGAGGGACUAAAACCAUAAUUAGACUAUAUGCUUUGAGAAAAUAUACUUAUAAAGGUCUCGAUUAUUUGUGCAGGUGGAUAUCCCCUCUUAUUUUGUUGGUUUUAUCUUGACGAACUGUAAACUUCCAAAAGAAAAAUAUGGAGCUCUUAUAUUAGCAGAUCCUUCACCUAUCCUAUUUUAUCCCAUUAGUAGCACUGAAAUUCGUUGCUUGGUGGAUGUUCCUAGUCAAAAUCUGCCCUCUGUUUCCAAUGGUGAAAUGGCUCAUUACUUGAAAACUUUGGUGGCUCCCAAGGUAUAUUUAUAUCUUUCUUUAAUCGACUCAUUAAUGGAAUUUGGUUGAACUUAUGUACUAACUAUAUUGAAGAAUUUAAAAUUUUGUGAGUAAUUUCAAGAAUGAAUUUUAAUAGCUCAAAUUCCUUUUUUAAGUUCCGCUUAAAUAGGUGGUUUUUCGAAAUCUCUAACAAUUUUAAAUGACUUAAUACACAUGGUUCGACUAUAAAAUAAAAACUUAAACCUCAAAAUUUAUUUUAUUUAAUUAUAAUAUAUUUUUAAAAUUUUAUUGUAUUAAAGUUAUUUAUAAAUUUUUACAAAUAUAAUGAUUUUCAUAUUGAAUAUUGUUUAUAUUAUUUAUAUUUAAUAUAAUUAUUCUUUUUAUAAUAUAUUCUAAUUUGUAAAAUUCCAUUAACCUAAAUUUUUUUGUAAACCAAUUAUUUAGCCCAACAAAAUAACUACAAAUACUAGCAUUUUAAAUAAUCUAAAAAAAUUCUAAUUAUAGGUCUCGAUCAUAUAUAAUCUUUUUGAUACAAUACCUAGAACUACCCAUAGUCCCUCCUCAGCUCAUAGAUAAAAGGAUAAUACGUUUCAGCAUACUCAAAAUCACGUCUUUCUCCUCAUGCCAAUUGAAUUAAGGUUCAAUAGACAAUUCGAUACAAAUUUAAGCAUAUAUUUUUUUUAUAUUUAUGUCAUAUGUUUGCUCUUUUUAUUGUGAAAUUAUUUUAAUUCUGGUUAAAAUUAUUUCACUUUAAGAUAAUUUAUGUGUUGUAAUUAUAUUUAAUAAUUAUUAUUUAUAAAUUACAAUAUAUUAUUAAAUGCAAGUAGUUUGAUUUUUUUUUUUUUUAUCUUUUUCAAUUGCGCGGAGUGGGGCUACUUCUAUUCAACCAUCUAUCACAUCAGUUUUAAGUAAAAUUAAAUUAAAUUAAAUUGUUUUUUUCGAAAAAUUAAAUUGAAUUGUCUUUUUCUCUUUGAUUUUCUCUUUGUCUUUUAGCAAUAAUAGCUUUUCAAGGCUUAAUUUAAUAAGACGUACCCGGGUUGGUUUAGUUUUUUAAAUUAUCUUUUCAUUGGUUUGAAUAUUUAAUAGGCUUAAUUUAGUUGGCAAGUUCUUAAGCUUGGUGGUAAUGGGUUUGAAUGAAGGAAUUCUAGUUGUCAAUCUUUGCUUUCACUUUCUCCUUAAUCAUCUACUUGCUAGAUGGUUUUGGUGCAGAACAAAUGAAAUUCAUAUUCGUUUAUGUGAAUAAAAUAAUCUUUUAUUUUUUAAAAAUGCUUUUAUAAUGAGAGAAUUAAUCACCACAGUAAAUAUUUUAAUUUUCACAAAAUAUAACUUUAUGAAAAAAAAAACUCAACUAUUACAUGUGAAAUUUAAAUUAAAUUAGGAAGGACCAACAAUUGAUUGCUCAAAUAAAUAUCUUAUUUUUUAAGAGGAAACUUCUUACUAUGAUCUUUUCAGAUUUUUUUUUAAGUUGAAGUAAAAUUAUUAGUUAUUAACGUGGAUCCCUUUUUAUAUUUUUAUUGAUACAAAAAGGUGGAGGCUCGUUGUCACCUGUGCAAUGGGAUAAGCCACUGACAUGACAGCAUCCAUGACAGAAGACAAAUUAAAAAUUUCGAGGCGUGAAGUACAAAAACAGCUUUCCAUACAUUGUUCUUAAAUCAAUGGCUGAGCAGUAUAUAGUUGGAGUUGCAGAUGUUAUAGCCUUUCUUUUGGGGUUUGUUUUCUUAGUGAGAUCUUGGGGGCUGAGCAAGCUGAAAAGAGCAGCUUCAAUGGAAUUCCCAAAGGAAAACUGUGUAAACAAAAAUGGAAAUGGUGAGGGUGAGGGUGAGGCUGUUGGCACUACGGAAGUUAUCAUAGUCGGUGCUGGUGUUGCCGGUGCUGCUCUUGCCUAUUCUCUUGGAAAGGUCCCAAUUUUUACGCUCCUUUAUUUUAAUUUUAUAGUAUUAAGUUCGGACUUGGGAUAAUAACAUUAACCAACUUUAAAGGUCGGUUUGGAUGACGAUUGAUUGCGGUGCGGUGCGGUGCGUUUAGUUUAAUUUUUGUCUCACGCUACAGUAUCGUUACAGUGUCUAAUCUUACCGCCACCGCUAUUUUUACACUAACCGCAGGUAAAUACACCGCCCAUCCAAACUCACCCUAAAAAGAUAAUUUUCAGUGGCCGAGCCACUGAGAGAUUCGGGGAGUCAGGGUCAAAGGUCUAAAAUUUUUCAAUUUCUUUUUUCUAUACAUGUAAUGUAAUCACCCUCCCAAAUAUAAAAAUAGAUUUUUCUAAUAUUUUUAUAGUAUUAUAAAUAAUAUUAAAAUAUUUUCGAUUAUGAAAAUUGUUAAAAUAAGAUUUCGCAACAAAAUGGAGGAUAAAUUUCUUAUAAAUAAUCUUGUUGUUUAUUUUAAGAGAUGUUGCCGAAACUUUUAAUCUAAACUCAAUAUUUAAUGAUUUUAUUUUUUUGAAAGAACAUCGUGCAUUAAUCAUAUACUAUUUCUUCUUGAUUGUUCUUUUUAAAUAUGUAUUUAUAUAACCUUUUUUAAUUUAUAUAUAUUUAGAAAUAUAAUAUGGAACAAAAAUUUUAUAUAAUUCUUUGUAGUGUAAUUAACAUAAAUAAUAAUUGUUAUAAUUUUUUUUUCGUAGCACGUCUAAUUUUAGUUUAGCUCUUUCAAAAUUAAUAUCUGAUUCCGUCACUGUUCAUUAUUUUAAAAUAAAUAUAAAAGAUACUUUAAUUAUGUCAAACAAUAAAAUAAAGAAUUGAAAUUCCAUCUUAAUUAUAUUUAAUGUAGAAAUACUAUAAAUAUUUACUAAAUAGAGAUUUUUAAAAAUAUUGUAAAGGUGGAGAAUGCUCCAUUUAGCGUCAAUUAACAUCAGUUUUUGUCUUCAAGUUUUCAUAAGAUCCUUGAAAAAUGGAUUUAACUAUGUUGUUAUACCUAAUAAUUUUUUUAUAAUUAUAUAUUGCAGGAUGAAUGUCGAGUGCAAGUGAUAGAAAGAGACUUAAAUGCACUUAAUAGAAUUGCUGGCGAAUUUUUAAUGCCAGGAGGCUACCUCAAGUUAAUUGAAUUAGGCCUCGGAGGUAAAUAAGAAAAUUAAUGGAAUAUAAUGUUACAAUGAUAUUUCUUUGUAUAUUUUUAUUUAUUUAUUUUACAUUAAAUGCUGGCAUUACAGAUUGUGUAGAUGAGAUUGAUGCUCAACCAAUUUUAGGUUAUACUCUAAACAAGGAUGGAAAGGAGGCUCUCGUAUCCUUUCCAUUGGAAAAGUUUCAGUCUCAUGUUGUAGGAAAAACCUUCCAUAAUGGUCGUUUCGUUCAAAGACUACGAAAGAAAGCCGCAUCUCUUCACAAGUACUUUCUCUCCUUCCUCCCAAUCAUUCUUUAAUUUCAAUAUAAUAUUUUAGAACAUUUAUCUUAAUGGAUUAAAUGACUUGUAGUUGUUUUGAUCCAUUACUUCUGUUUAGACCUAUCAAUUGAGCUCGUUCACUUGAUUUUGGUUUGAUCAAUCUAGAUAAAUCACUCAAGUUUUUAAACUUAACACAUCAUUUUGGUUUUUAUCACUUUAGGCUAAGGAUUAUUUUUGGUUUAGAUCAUUUCAUGUGUAGAUUUCAGUCAUUUUGGGUUCAAACAUUAGAGCUCCAGGUUCUAAAUUUUUGAGUCUAGUCAUUACAAUUUAAUAUCGUUUUGGUUCUAGUCACUUUGAGUUUGGGUCCUUUCAAGUUAAUUUUUGAAUCAUUUUGAGUUUGAGUUGUUUUAAGUUCAAGCUAGUUUGGGUUAGGGUAAAAUUUUGUUCAAGUUGGAGGGACUCAAAUUGUGGACCCUUUAUAGUCAAAUCAAAUUGGAUCAAAUUUAAGUUCCAAUUGGUCGAGUCAAAAUUGACAUGUUUGGUUCUUUUACUAUUACUUUGUUUCAACUUGUUUUAAUCAGAAAUUAUGCCUCUCUUUACAAGCUCCAAAUUCAUGUUUUGAUGAUAUGAUAACGCAGUGUAAGUUUAGAACAAGGGACAGUAACAUCUCUACUUGAAGAAAAUGGUAUUGUCAAAGGAGUGUACUAUAAAGAUAAGAGUGGUCAGUUGCUAACAGCUUAUGCUCCUCUCACCAUCGUCUGUGAUGGUUGUUUCUCGAAUUUGAGACGCUCUCUCUGCCAUUCUAAGGUGAAAAAAAUGCUUACAUAUAUACUCUUGUUAAAUUGGUUUAAUUCUUAUUUUAGUCACUCUAUAACGUUAAAAAUUUGAGAUUUAGUCCUAUUUUAUUGUGCCAUAAUUUGAUUCCAUUAUUUUUGUGAAGAUAUUAGUAUGUCAAAAUAGAUCAGUUGCUUUUAUUAAAGAAUUGACUUAUUUUUUGGUCAUAUAGUCAAGGUCACAUUGAAAUCAAGUCAAUUAGGUUGAACCAAUAAUGAAAUUUCAUGUUACUCGAAUGUUAGUUAGUUUUAACAAAAAUCUAUGUCAUUAUUUCAAUGGUAACAAUUAACGGUGUCAUCAAUUUGGAUCUACAAUAAAGAUAGAGAGACUAAAUUUUGCCAAAUUGAAAUAGAGGAAUAAAAUUCCAAUUUCAGCUUGGUAGAAGGACUAAAACCAUAAUUAGACUUAAAUUAUAUGCUUUGAGAAAAUAUGCAUAUAAAGGUCUCGAUUAUUUGUGCAGGUGGAUAUCCCCUCUUAUUUUGUUGGUUUUAUCUUGACGAACUGUAAACUUCCAAAAGAAAAAUAUGGAGUUUUUAUAUUAGCAGAUCCUUCACCUAUCCUAUUUUAUCCCAUUAGUAGCACAGAAAUUCGUUGCUUGGUGGAUGUUCCUAGUCAAAAUCUACCCUCUGUUUCCAAUGGUGAAAUGGCUCAUUACUUGAAAACUUUGGUGGCUCCCAAGGUAUAUUUAUAUCUUUCUUUAAUCGACUCAUUAAUGGAAUUUGGUUGAACUUAUGGACUAACUAUAUGAUCUAUGAUACAUUUCAGGUUCUUCCUGAAUUAUACAAUUCCUUUAUAUCUGCAAUAGAGAAGAAGGACAACAUAAGAAUAAUGCCGAACAAAAUCAUGGCUGGUGCUCCACACCUCACUCCUGGUGCUUUUUUGAUCGGCGAUGCAUUCAAUAUGCGGCAUGCUAUAACUGGAGGGGGAAUGACUGUUGCUUUAUCUGAUGUUGUGAUACUUAGGGAUCUUCUAAGACCUUGCAUGAUCUAUCUGAUGCAUCCGCCAUUUGCAAAUAUCUCGAAUCCUUUUAUACUCUGAGGAAGGUAUUGUAGUUCAUGUCCUAUAUGAAUUUUUUAAAGUGAAUAAAAAGGAACAAAAAAUGGCAUAAAUUUUCACUUUUAACUGCAUGCAGCCAAUGUCAUCUACGAUAAAUACACUAGCCAAUGUUUUACAUAAGGUAUUUAGUGCCCCGUCCGAUCCUGCAAUGGAGAAUCUGCAACAAACAUUGUUGGGGUAUUUGAAACUUGGAGGGGUUUUUCAUCUGGAGUAUCAGCUCUGCUCUCUGGUUUAUGCCCUCGUCCAUUAAGCUUAGCAUUUCAUUUCAUUGUCAUGGCAAUAUAUGGUGUUGGCCAGUUGUUACUUCCAUUUCCUUCUCCCAAACGCUUGUUGGAUGGAGCUAAACUCCUUUGGGUCAGUAUCUCUACCAAUCAUUUCUCAUAUAUCAUGAUCACUAACACGAUAAAAAUAUAUAAUAAUUUAAAAAUGACGUUCUUUUUUUUUUUGUUGUUGUUGUUUUUUCAGGUUGCAUCAAGUGUUCUUCUCCCCAUUAUACACUCUGAAGGAGUCAGACAAAUGUUUUUCCCUCUAACUGUGCCAGCAUAUUAUAGAACUCCCCCUAAGGGAAAAAAAAUCUAAGAGGAAACUCCAUGCAUCUGUAGUGAACAAUUCUAUAUAUAUUCGCAAUAGAUUUUCAUAUUUGUUUCUAGUUAGCAUUCUCAGGUAGGCUUGAUGGUGGUUUGUACUCAUAUUGUUUUUACGUGUCUUGUUUAAAAUUCUAAAUAAAGGUUUAGUAAUUCUUGUGUUGGUGUUGUUUUUAUGUAGCUUGUUUGAAAUAUUGAACUAACGAGUUAGCAUUUUUAAGUAGGUUCAAUAAGCAUCCUAUUCGUAUUGUUUUUGUUAAUAUAAAUUAUCCAUGAGUUCAUUAAUAUUAUUAAGUGUAUAGAGAUCUCAUGAGUUUGGAAUGCUCUUUGAGAGAGAUUUGGCACAACUUAAGCGUAUAUCCUAAAGCAUUUCUUGCGAUGGAGAGGAUAUUUCUAGAUAGAGCUUUGAUAUAGGUGACUUGAGUGGAAACAUCUAUCCAAAUUUUGCACAAAUUUACAACCAAGUGAAUAAAAUUGAGUUUAUGAUACAUUUUCGAUUAAAUAUCUUUUUAGCUAACUGGACGGCAAAAGUGACAUUAAGGGUGAGUUUGGAUGGGCGGUGCGUUUACCUGCGGUUAGUGUAAAAAUAGCGAUAGCGGUGAGAUUAGAUACUGUAGUGAUACUGUAGCAUAAGACAAAAAGUAAGUUAAACACACCGCACCACACCCAAUCGCCCAUCCAAACCCACCCUAAAUAUUCCGGAAAAGAUCUUUGAUACACUCCCCAAGCGUAUAGCAGAACUCCCCCGGCACUUUUUAUCAUACCAAAAGUUAAAUUAAUUUGUCUUUUCCCUCUCUUUUUUUUCCAAUAAUAAUUUAUCCUUUUUGUUUUUGCAUUACGUGUGGUGGAGGUACAUCUAUCAUAUUUUUGUCAAGUUUUUAUUUUCUUCCCUUUCGAUUCGCUAUUUCUCUGCUAACCUCUCUUCAAUUUCCCUCUUUCUCAAUUUGGUAAAGGACGACACGGAUGAAUUAAGUUAAAUGUCCUCUUAAGAAACGGCGCCGUUAAAGGUAAUUUUAAUUCAGAGUUGCGGCGUUUUGCGAAAAAACGCUGCUAUUGCAUCCACAUUUGCGGUGUUUUAAUAAUAAAGAACGCCACUAAAAUUUUUAGUACAGAAAGAAACGGUGCCGUUUUAUUAAAAUAUAAUGCAUGUUCUGGUGUUUUUCCAAAAAAUGCCACUAAAAGAUUCCAUCCUUCCAUUGAAACGGUGCCGUUUUGCCAACUUUUAAAUAUCAUUUACGGCAUUUUUCGGAAAAACACCAUAACUCAAAUUUAAUCCCUAAACUGAAACGACGCCGUAUCGAAAAAUGCAAUAAAUGUUUGUGGCAUUUUUUACCAAAACGCCGAUAAUGUCUACCUUUUGCGGUGUUUUUGAUAUAAACGCCACUAAUAAAUUUAAAUUCUCCUAUCGAAACGGUGCCGUUUUGAGAAAUUUGACUAUAUAGUAACGGCAUUUUUUGUUAAAAACACCGCUAAAUCUCAAAUAUUUUAUUUAUUUAUUUAUUUAUUUAUUGUAUCUUUCAUUUAAAUUUUACGUAAAUAAUUAUUAAAAUUUUAAGUAAUAUUUAAAAGUAUUUGAUACAUGUAUAAAUUUUAGUUUUUUUUAUUUCUUUUUUAUUUUUUUAUUUUAUUUUUUCUUAUAUUUUGGUCCUAUACAAAUUAAAUAAUUAAUUACCUAUAUAUAUAUCCAUAUAAAAAAUAUCAAUGGUUAGGGUUAAAUGUUUUUAAAUAUACAAGUAUUAAUUAAUUGUAUCAUUUAACAAGUCUCAAAUAAACCUUAAACCCUAAAUUAACCAAUCAAUCUACAUGCAUAAAGUGAUCGUCUAUCUAUUAUAUAUCUCUUAAAUAAUAUAAAUUAUACUCAUAAUUUCAAUAUAUUAAAUUUAUUAUUAUCUAUUUUACAAAUAUAUAAGAACAUAUUUAAUAUAUAAAUUAAUAAAACUAAUUAAUCUAAACUUAAACCCUAACUUGACCCUUGAAACCCUAAACCCCAAAUCCCUAACCCCUAACCCCUAAAUCCCCCUAACACCUAAAGCAUAACCCCUAACACUUGAACCUUAAAUCCCAAACCCUAAAUCCAUACCCCCUACUCCUUAAAAUACCAUCCAAAAAAAUCCUUAAAUCUUUAACAAUCAUAAAAUAUAGUUAAAAUCGAUUAAACAAUAAUUAAUAGUUAAAAAUUUUGUAUAAAUUGGUGUUUUAUAUUACUUUCUUUGAUUUAUUUAGUCGAACUAUCAAAAUUUAUUAUUCUUAUAAAAGUUUAUUCUAUUUUUUAUUCUUUACAACACAACAAUUUAAGUUUUAUGAUAUUUUAUUUUACUCAUAGUUUAAUAUAUUUUUUCUAGUAAAGUAGUUUAAAUAAACUGUGAUUAAAAAAUAAUAAUAAAUAGUUAGGAGUUAGGACUUCUCUUUAAUUAUAAAAAUAUUUUGUAUUAAACAAUAUUAUUUGUUAUCAUUUAAAUGUAAAUUUGUCCACUAUAUAACAUGGUCUUUAGCGGCGUUUUUUUCUAAGCGCCGCUAAAGAACAUGGUCUUUAGCGGCGUUUUUGUUUGUAAAUGCUGCAAACGUUUGCGACGUUUUCGUUAGCGGCCUUUUUUGCGGCGCUUGUGGAAGCGCCGCAAAUACCUUUAGUGGCGUUAUAAAGCGCCGCUAAAGGCCUAAAAAACGCCGCUAAAGACCCGUUUUGGUGUAGUGUUAUAAUAAAAAAAAUAUAAUUCAAACAUUACUUGAGAAUAUAUCAAAGAAUGAGAUAAUUGAAAUGGGUAUUAGAUUUUAUUAUUAUUAGCGGUGCUAUUUCAAAAACGCCGCUAAAGGCCCGAGCAUUAGCGGCGCUAUUUCAAAAAAGCCGCUAAAGGCCCGAGCAUUAGCGGCGCUAUCUCAAAAACGCUGCUAAAGGACCGAGCAUUAGUGGCACUACUCCAAAAACGCCGCUAAAGGCCCCAAAAACUCAGAAAACGGCGUCGUUGGUCUUAGGUUUUUUGCGGCGCUUUUCGGAAAACGCGCUAAUUCUUAUUUUUAGCGGCGUUUUUCGAAAAGCGCCGCUAAUGCUCGAUCUUUAGCUGUGUUUUUAUAAAAGCGCCGCUAAUGCUUGAUUUUUAGUAGCGUUUUUUAUCCAAACGCCACUAAAAAUGCCACUAAAAGCCUAUUUUGGUGAAGUGGUAGUAUUGGUUCACAUCGUAGGGCGUACCAAGAGCACUAAAAAUGAUAAUGCAUAGGGUCUCAUGAGCUUGGAGAGUUGUUUGGGAGAGAUUUAGAACAACUUUAGCAUGUAUCCUAAAGCAUUUCUUGUGGUGGAGAGGGCCUUUCUAGAUGACGAGGAACUUUGGUAUGGGAGACUUGAGUGGAAACAGUCAUCCAAGUUUUGCACAGGCUUACAGCCGAGUGAAUAAAGUUGAGUCCGUAACACAUUACGAGCUUAAUAUAUUCCUCGAUAAAAAGUCUUUUUAGUUAACUGGAUGGAAAAAGUAGCAUUAAAUAUUCUUAAAAUGAUCUUUACUUUUGAUGAACCACCCCCAGAGAUCAUGGUCACCCUUAAAACUGAUGUGAAAGAAUUUGCCUUCCCAGAUUUAGGGAAAAUUCUCCCAUGCGCUCCAAGCAUGCACACCUAUAUGUAAUUUUUACCGACUUUUCUAAUGCUAUUUUUGUUAGAAAUAUUAGUAUUGGUAUAAGUUAGAAAUGUCGGUAAAAACUAAAAAAAUUUGAUAGACUCCCCAAGCGUAUAGCAGGAUUCCCCACGUUUAAUUGUUGCUUAUUAAGCUCUAGGGCCCUCUAUCAUACCAAAAAUUAAAUUAUUUUGUUUUUUCCUUUUGUUUCUUUUAAUGCCUUCUUCUUUUGUUUUUUUUUCCUUUUUGUUUCUUUUACUGCCUUAUUACAACUUCAUGAAUAAAACGUGGGUAUUUUUCCACCCAAAUAACAUCACUACAAAUACACCUGCAUGUCUAGUCAUUUUUGUGAGCAGCGUUGCUUUGGGGACUUAGCGAUCGCAGGACCCAUGUUUUGGCUACUCUUGUUUACUGUCUUCCAAAUUAGAGAUGAUUUGUAGAGCAUCUCCCUCAACAAUAAUAUCCCAGCACGUGCUUAUUCACUCCCCCACCAUUCCUCCCUUCUCUUCUAUAAAUCAUGUUCUUCUUGAUUAUUCGUUCCACGCAUUGUUAUUAAAUCAAUGGCUGAGCAGUACAUAGUUGGAGUUGGAGCUGUUAUAGCCUCUCUUUUGGGGUUCCUUUUCUUGUACUGCAAUUCCCUCAUAAGAUUUAGGGGACUGAGUAAGCUAAAAAGAGCAGCUUCAAUGGAGUUCCCAAAGGGGAACAGUGUAAACAAAACUGGAAAUAGUGAGGGUGUUGGCACUACGGAUAUUAUCAUAGUCGGCGCCGGUGUUGCCGGUGCUGCUCUUGCCUAUUCUCUUGGAAAGGUCCCAUUUUUUCUCCUUGUUCUUUAUUUUGUUCUACCAUAGUUUUAAUCAUCUUAUUUUCCUCUUCCAGCAUAUAACAAUUACUAGUUUUUUUUUGGGAAAAAAUAUCAUGGUUACCUCUUACUAGGAGUCAAAUUGCAUAUAAAUUAGUCUUUUUAUAUUAGAUCAAGUAGCAAAUUGAUCAUUUCUAUUAAAAAUUUAAUCCAUUUUUACGAUUAAAAUUGGUGUGGUUGACAUAAUCAAAUAGUUAUGCAUAGCGCGUUGUACCUUACGUUAACAUAUAGGGACCAAUUUUUAACUGUAGGAAUUUAUGGACUUUUUAACAGAGGGCUAAUUUGCUCUUUGAUCUAUUGUAUAGGGACUAAUUUGUUCAUUUUUUAGUAGAGGGGACAAAUGCAAUCCGAUUCUUAGUACAAGGCCCUCCAUGAUGCUUUUACCAAUUUUUUUGAGGAACAAUUACUAAUUAAGUUUGCAUUUUAUCAUUAUUAUUUAUACACAUUUUAUUAUUAUUGGUUGAAGUAUUAUAAGAUAAUAUUUCGAUAAGUUAAUUUAAUUUCACAUGGAUCUAUGUUUAUUUUUUAUAAUAAAUUCAAAUUUUAAUUUGAUGGCAGAAUGAAAUAUUCAAUAUUUUCUUAAACUGUACCGGUUCUGAUUGAGAAUUGAUUAGGGUAUUGGUCCAAAAGAAAUAAAAAAUCACUUGAUUCAUGAAUCAGUAUAAACUGAUUAUAUCAAUGAUUGAAUUUGUUGAUCCGGAUUUUAUAAUUUUUGUUAUUUUUAUUUUUUAAUAAUUUAUUUAACUUAAAUAAGAUAAACAAAUGGAUCGAAAAUUGAUGAUUUGACUAGUUUCACAGUCAAUUUAGAAAACAUCAAAUAUAGUAUUAGUAACUAAGAAUAUAUAUAUCAAUUUUGUAAAAAUAAAACAUCGGUAAUGACAAUAUAUUGUAAAGAAAAAGAGAAAUAAAAAUAAAAAACACACAGAUUUUUACGUGGAAACCCUUUCGGGGAAAAAACCACAGGCAGAGGAGAAGAAAAUUAUCUAUGUCAAAUUCGAUUGAUUACAAGAGGAGUUUCGACUACAUCUAUUUAUAGGUUAAUUCUAAUCAAAGUCAAAUAUAUUAUGUUAACAAAUGCUAAAUAUACUAGACUCAUAAAUACUAAAUCUUCUAGAAAGAAGAUAUAUUUUGUUUAACUUGACUUGCAAGCAAUCUCUUAGAAUUUGGGUCAUACAACUCUAACAAUUUUUUUAUAAUUGGUAAGGCACAAUAUGAAGUACUAAUAAAAAAUAGCAUAUAUAAUCAGAACUUGUAAUGAGAUUAUUAAAAAAAUCUAUAAAUAUGUUAAAUAAAUUUUGUAGGUCCUUUAUUUAUUAAUUUUUAUUUUUUAAAAGAUUUAAUUGAUAAAUUACACCCUAAAAUAUAUCUAAAUCUUUUUUUUGGUUAAAACUAAUACUUAAACUAUAAUUCAUUUAAUGCAACAUCAAUAAAUAAUUCUGGUUUAUAAUAUUAUUAAUAUUAACAUUAAUUAAAAAUUAUAAUAACAUUUCAAAAAUUCCCUUUUAAAUCAUUUAAAAAUUUUCAAAAUAUGAUUACCCUCAAUCAAACAUUCAUUGAAAAAAUUUAGUUUCAAACUUUUUGCAAUACAUAAGCAAGAAAUAAAUAUCAUUUAAUUUCUAUAAGAAAAUGUGCCAAUUAAACAUUAACGAAAUUCAAUAAGAUGCAGUAUUCAAGCAAAGUCAAGCAUCAAAACAGUGUGACAACAAGAAUUAAUGCAUGAUCACAUUAUCAACAUUUGCAUAUUAAUGAUAUAAGUAAUAAAGCUUAUACAAAUAAAACUUUGUUGAAGGUUAGAUCAAAGAUCCAAGACAAUUGCCUUUCUUGUAAAACCACUAGCGUUUCUUCUGAUCACUGCUCAAAUAUGGGGAAGGAACCACUGUAGUUGUAGUGGUUGUUGUUGCAACAUAGAAGUUGGGAUGAUUUGCAGUGGUGAUUCACAUCGUUUAAAAAUGGUGUAUAAAAGUCUAAUGCAUUUUGGCACAACUUUGGCAUAUAUCCUAAAGCCCCUUUUCUCUUGUGAUGGAGAGGGCUUUUAUAGAUGAGGGGGUGCUUUUAUAUGGGUGACCUGGGCAGAAGCGCCCAUCCAAAUUCUGCACGAACUUAGAAUCGAGUAAACAAAGUUGAGUCCGUGACACAUUACGAGUGUUAGAAUUGUGUGACCCAAAUUCUAAGAGAUUGCUUGCAAGUCAAGUUCAACAAAAAUAUAUUUUCUUUCUAGAAGAUUUAGUAUUUAUUAGUAUAAUAUAUUUAUCAUUUAUUAGUAUAGUUUAUUUGACUUACUAAUUUAGCCUAUAAAUAGGCUCUUUUACAAUCUUAGAAAUUAGAGACACCCAUUAGAUUAGAACUCAUAACACAUUCAGAGAAUUUUGUGUUUACGUUUUGAGGGUUCUUUGUUUUUCGGGUUUUCGGGGUUUAGUUUUUAUCUCUAUCUUUUGUACUCUUCAUUCUUUUGCCAUUAUAGUAAAAUUAUCUUUGCCCGUCGUUUUUUAUCCUCUUUUGAGGGGUUUUUCCACGUUAAAUUUGUGUGUUCAUCUUCUCAAUUUCUUCUACUAUUUUUACUUGUUCGUUGCUUAAUCGGGACGAUCCUAACAAGUGGUAUCAGAGCUAGUUUAACUUUCAUAGAUCAGCCCGUUCAGAGAUGUCAGCAACAAGGUUUGAAAUUGAGAAGUUCAAUGGUGAGACAAAUUUCAAUCUGUGGCAAGUUCGGAUGAUGGCAAUUCUAGUUCAAAAUGGCUUGAAAAAGGUUGUUACAGGGAAAAAGCCUGAGAAUCUUAAUCAAACAGAAUGGGAAGAGCUUGAUGAAAAGGCCUUGUCUGCAAUCCAGUUGUGCCUCGCGAAUACAGUAUUGCAGGAGGUAUUGAUNNNNNNNNNNNNNNNNNNNNNNNNNNNNNNNNNNNNNNNNNNNNNNNNNNNNNNNNNNNNNNNNNNNNNNNNNNNNNNNNNNNNNNNNNNNNNNNNNNNNNNNNNNNNNNNNNNNNNNNNNNNNNNNNNNNNNNNNNNNNNNNNNNNNNNNNNNNNNNNNNNNNNNNNNNNNNNNNNNNNNNNNNNNNNNNNNNNNNNNNNNNNNNNNNNNNNNNNNNNNNNNNNNNNNNNNNNNNNNNNNNNNNNNNNNNNNNNNNNNNNNNNNNNNNNNNNNNNNNNNNNNNNNNNNNNNGUGAAGGGUUAUUUGUUGAGUAGAGACAAACUCGACAAUGAGUUUGGUUUGAAUAGCAAAGCAGAUAGGCAAGCUUCCGUUUUGGUAGCAUUAAAGAAACAAGACAAAAGGUGUCGCUAUUGUAAAAAGUUAGGUCACUUCAAAGCAGAUUGUUAUAAACUGCGAAAUAAAAGAGCUGCUGAGAGUAACGAGGAAGAUGUAGCUGGUGCUAAUUUGGUCAAUGAAGGCGAUGAUGAUUUCUUGUUAGUGUCAACGAGCGAUAAUUCCAAGCUUACGUCUGAGUGGAUCCUAGAUUCAGGAUGUUCUUUCCACAUGUGUCCCAAUAGAGAAUGGUUCUCCACAUACAGUUCAGUUGAAGGUGGAGUUGUGCACAUGGGAAACGAUUCAUCUAGUAAAAUAAUCGGUAUUGGUACUGUUAAAAUUAGGAUACACGAUGGGACGAUUAGGACACUCUCAGAUGUCAGGUAUGUACUUGAUUUACGAAAGAAUCUCAUCUCCUUGAGUAUUUUAGACUUGAAAGGAUGCAGAAUCAACAUCGAGUCGAGCGACAUUAAAGUAUCUCGUGGAGCUCUCGUUUUGUUAAAAGGUAAAAGAGCCGGCAGUCUUUAUAUUCUGGAAGGUUCUACAGUGACUAGUGAAAUCGGACGUCCCUCGUCCGUUACGGAGUCAAAGUCAACUCAUUUGAAGCGGAGGCAACUUGGUCAUAGGAGGGAAAAAUGUAUGACCGUUUCGUUGAAGAGAGGUUCUCUUUUGGAUGCAAGUUUUGAAAAGUUAGGGCACUGUAUUCGUGAAAAUCAGACCCGGGUUAGUUUUGAUUUGGCAGUGCACAAGUCGAAGGCUAGAAGUCUUCCAGCUUCUAAGCAUAGAUUCGACUCAGUUAAUUCCCUGCAUAGUUCAAGAUAGGCCCGUGGCGGGUUUUGGCAAAGAUGGCAUUGAAAAAAUUUGUGUCAAGGUGGAGAUUGUUAGAAUUGUGUGACCCAAAUUCUAAGAGAUUGCUUGCAAGUCAAGUUAAACAAAAAUAUAUUUUCUUUCUAGAAGAUUUGGUAUUUAUUAGUAUAAUAUAUUUAGCAUUUAUUAGUAUAGUUUAUUUGACUUACUAAUUUAGCCUAUAAAUAGGCUCUUUUACAAUCUUAGAAAUUAGAGACACCCAUUAGAUUAGAACUCAUAACACAUUCAGAGAAUUUUGUGUUUACGUUUUGAGGGUUCUUUGUUUUUCGGGUUUUCGGGGUUUAGUUUUUAUCUCCAUCUUUUGUACUCUUCAUUCUUUUGUCAUUAUAGUAAAAUUAUCUUUACCCGUCGUUUUUUAUCCUCUUUUGAGGGGUUUUUCCACGUUAAAUUUGUGUGUUCAUCUUCUCAAUUUCUUUUACUAUUUUUACUUGUUCAUUACUUAAUCGGGACGAUCCUAACAACGAGCUUAAGUAUAUUCUUCGAUAGAAAUUUUUUUAGCUAACUGGAUAUAUAGUAAAAGCAGCAUUAAGUAUUCCUAAAAAGAUUUUUUAUCUUCGAUGAAUCAUCACCAAACACCAUGAUCACCUUUAAAGCGGAUAUUGAAAAUUCUCUCAUGUGUUCUAAACUUACACUCUACCUGUGCGAAUUGCAGAACUCCCCACAGUUAGUGAUUGUCUUUUUACCUUGUCCCUCUUUAGUCCCACAAAAUAAAUAAUUUAAUUUGUCUUUUUCCUUUUUUUUUUUUGUUUCUUUUUGCGAUAAUAAUGCAUCCACGUAACAUCAUCACUGCAUUGCAAAAAGUCCUUAGCUUUCAUACUUGCCAAUGCUUCUGUAUUUUUCCGAAAUUAAAUUGUAAUGAACCAAAAGAAAUCGUCUAUCACUACUUUUAGUUAAAAUUAAAUGAAAUACGAAAGGACACAAAAAGUAAUUGCCUACAUAAAUAUAUUACUUUUGUAGAGGUUAUAUUUAUGAUCUAUAUAGUAUAAUGUUGGGGUAAACUCGAGUUAAGAAACGAAUAAGAAUAAAUAGAGAAAAAUCGGAUACAAAUAUUUACAUGAAAAAACUCUUCUUAAGAGACAAUUCAUGGUUCAGACGACUAGUAAAAAUAGAAAAGAAUAAACGAAUUGAGUUGUGAAAUGAGUUCAUGGAUUUACCAAAUUUUUAGGUCUUUACAAAUUUAAUUUGUCUUUUUCCUUUUUUUGUUUCUUUUUGCAAUAAUAAUGCAUCCUUUCUUUUUUUUUUCCAUAACGUGUGGUGGAGGUACUUCAGUCAUCAAUCAUAUUUUUGCUGGAGAAAUGUCUUCUUCGUUUCAUUAAUCAUUUAGAGCAUAAGCAAUUACAACUUCAUGAAAAAAAAUGGGUAUUCUUCCACCCACAUAACAUCAUCACUGUAUUGCAAAAAUUCCUUAGCUUUCACACUUGCCAAUGCUUCUGUUAGUUAAAUUUAAAUGAAAUACGAAAGGACACAAAAAAUAAUUGCCUACAUAAAUAUAUUACUUUUGUAGAGGUUAUAUUUAUGAUCUAUAUAGUAUAAUGUUGGGGUAAACUCGAGUUAAGCAACGAAUAAGAAUAAAUAGAGAAAAAUCACAUACAAAUAUUUACUUGAAAAAAUUCAUCUUAAGAGGAUAAAAAAUCACGGGUAAAAAAAACUUCACUAGAAUGGCAAAUAACUGAAGAGGAGUACAAGAUAGAGAAACAAAAAACAAAUCCAAACUCAAAAACACAAAGUUCUUCCGAAAUUCCCAAAAAACUCUCUCUUAAUUAUGUUGUUGAAUUGAUCUCUCUAGUGUUGCUAAAAGCCCUAUUUAUAGGCUGAAAUCCAUGUGAAAAUAUGACUAAAACAUCUCUAGAAUAAUCAAAGUUAAACUAGAAAAAGAUAACAAAGUUCAAUUAAGAGAUACAAUUCGGUUUAGUAGAUAACACAUCGUCACGUCGUGACAUGGCAUAUUGCCUUGUCGAGACGUCAUUCUUCGCAUCGUUAAGACAUUGUCUCUUUCUCGUCCCGACGUUAACCCUAUUUCAUCUAAAAUGUGAGGUAUAGAUGAGAGGGCCAAAUGAGAUUUCCAAACCACAAUAAUUUAAAAUGUUUGAUAUAUUAUAUAUUAUACACAUUAAAAGAUCUUAUUGGUCGAUUGUGGAGAUUAUUAUAUGCCAUUGCACGCUUUUCCUCUAUAAAUGAUGUUCUUCUUGAUUAUUCGUUCCAUACAUUGUUCUUAAAUCAAUGGCUGAGCAGUACAUGGCUGGAGUUGGAGGUGUUAUAGCCUCUCUUUUGGGGUUUGUUUUCUUGUACUGCAGUUCCCUAAUCAGAUUUAGGGGACUGAAGAAGCUAAACAGAGCAGCUUCAAUGGGGUUUCCAAAGAAAAACAGAGUAAACAAAACUGGAAAGAGUGAGGGUGUUGGCACUGCGGAUAUUAUCAUAGUCGGCGCCGGUGUUGCCGGUGCUGCUCUUGCCUAUUCUCUUGGAAAGGUCUCAUAAUUUCUUCUUUUUUCUUUAUUUUGUUCUACCAUUGUUUAAUCAUCUUAUUUUCCUCGUCUAGCAUAUAACAAUUACUAAUUUUUUAGUAAAAGUAUCAUGUUCCUAGUAAAGUUCCUGUACUAAGAUUAGAUUGCAUUUUAUUCCUUUUACUCAAAAAAUGGGUAAAUUAGUUCUUGUAGGAUAGAUUAAAUAGAAAAUUGGUAUUUUCUGUUAAAAAAUUUAUUCAUUUCUACUGUUAAAAAUUGACGUGGCUGAUGAUAUAACCAGUCAGUUACACAUAGUGUAUCAUGUGUACCUCAUGCUAACGUAUAGGGAUCGAUUUUAAAUAGUAGAAAUGAAUAGAAUUUUUAACUGAGAACCAGUUUACUUUUUAAUAUAAUGAGACUAAUUUACUAUUUUUUAAGUACAGGAACAAAAUGCAAUCUGAUUCUUAGUACAAUGGCCUCCAUGAUACUUUAACCAAAUUUUUUUGAAAGGAACAAUUACUAAUUAAGUUCGCAUUUUAUUAUUAUUGGUUGAAGUGAUAUAUGGGAAGAUAGUAUUUCGAUAACUUAAUUUAAGUUCACGUGAAUUUGUGUUGAUUUUUUUGUAAUAAAUUCAAAUUUUAAUUUGAUGGUAAAAUGAAAUAAUCAAUGUUGUUUUUGAAAUUAGAUUUAGAGUACUGGCUUGAGCUGGAUUUUAUAUAUUUUAUAUUUUUAAUAAUUUAUUUGAUUUAUAUAAAAUGAACAGAUUGAACCGAAAAUCAAUGAUUUAAUCAAUUUAACUACCGAUACGAUUUAAAAAUAAUAACUAAAAAUAUAUAUUUGACUCUUUUUAAUUGAUAACUGUGUAAUAUCAAGUAGUAGUUAAAAAAUAUAUAAAAUCUAUUUUGACAGUCCAAUUUGAUUUUAUUUAAUAUAAAUGCAUAUAAAUAUCUAAAUUACUGUCAUGUAUACUGCCAGUGAAAUUAAAAAAAAUUCAUAAGCAAGUUAAAAAAGAUUUUGUAUGUCCUUUAUUUAAAUAUAUGCUCAAAGUAGUUAUAGUGUAGAAACAAGCUUGUACAAAGGCGGGGAAAAAUCACGAUAAGAAAUAAUAUCUGAGUAAAAAACAUACAUGGUAUACACACAGGAUGGAAUUAGAGAUUUACAUGUCACAAUUGCGCAUGAUUAAACUCAAACUUGAGUGCUUAAGAACCCAAAGUCUUUGCAUUAAGCAACAAUGCCAAGAUUUCAUUGGCUUUCAAAUUUGGAUUUUAAUAUGAUACCAUAUGUAACAAUUCUUAACAACUUACAUGUUACAGGAUGGACGUCGAGUACGAGUGAUAGAAAGGGACUUAAAUGCGCCUAAUAGAAUGGCUGGUGAAAGUCUAAUACCAGGGGGCUACUUAAAGUUAAUUGAAUUAGGCCUUGAGGGUAAACAAGAAAAAUCAUAGAUUUAAAUAGUAGAUGUAAUAUAAUGUUAUAAUGUUAUUUCUUUAUAAAAUUACUUAUUUUACUUUUAAGUGUUGGUUCUAUAGAUUGUGUAGAUGAGAUUGAUGCGCAACGACUUUUGGGUUAUACUCUAUACAAGGAUGGAAAGGAGGCUCAAGUAUCUUUUCCUUUAGAAAAGUUCCAAUCUCAUGUUGCAGGAAGAACAUUUCAUAAUGGUCGUUUUGUUCAAAGGUUGCGGAAAAAAGUUGCAUCUCUUCACAAGUACUUUCUCUCUCCCUCCUCUCAAUCAUUCUUCAAUUUCAACAUAAGACACCAGAACAUUUUAUCUUAAAGGAUUAAGUGAUUUGUAGUUUGUUUUAAUUCAUUGCUUCUGUUUAGACCUGUCAAUUGAGCUAGUCAAGUCGAUUUUGGGUCAAGUCAACCUAGAUCGAGUCAUUCGAGUUUUACAAUUUUUUGCUUAAAUUUGGUUUUAGUGAGCUUAGAUUCAAGUCAUUUCAGGUUUGGGUUAAAUUCGGGUUUGGACCGUUUCAAGUUUGGAUUUGAGUCCUUUCGGGUUUAGGUCAAUAGGGUUUGAAGCUCAAGUUUUUAGGGUCAGCUCAUGAUAGGUUCAUGUCAUUUUAGGUUGCAGUCACCUCGAUUUUUUAUCUUUUCAAGUUGCUUGUUUGGAUCAUUUUGGGUUUGAGUGGCCAAUUUAUGUUAGAGUAAAACGAGGUUAAGUUUAGAGGGAUUCAUGUUGUUGACCAUUUAUAGUCAAAUCAAGGCAAGUUUAGGUUUGAAUUGAUCAAGUUAUAUUUUAGGCUUAAGUUAACAUUGACAAGUUCACUUCUAUUUGUAUUUACUUGUUACAACAAUUUAUUAUAAAGAGUACAUUUGAAAUUAUACUUUUUCUUUAGAAGAUCCAAUUUGAUGUUUUGAUGUUAUGAUAAUGUAGCAUAAGUUUAGAACAAGGGACAGUAACAUCUCUGAUCGAAGAAAAUGGUAUUGUUAAAGGAGUGCAGUACAAAAAUGAGAGUGGUCAAGUGUUGACAGCUUAUGCUUCUCUCACAAUUGUAUGCGAUGGUUGUUUCUCAAAUUUGAGACGCUCUCUUUGCUAUCCUAAGGUGAAAAUGCUUGGGAAUUCUUGUUAAAUUUGUUCAAUUAUGGUUUAUGUCUCUUUAUUAUGCUAAAAUUUUAUAUUUAAUCAUUCUACUUUAUUUUUUAUUUAAUUUAAAUCCAUUUAUUUUUAUAAUGUUAUUGUAUGUCCAAAUUAAUAAUAUUAUUAGUUGCUUUUUAUUACAAAUGGUACCUACUAAUAACAUUUAGAGAUCAAUUUUUUUUCCAAAUUAAAGCAAAGAGAUUAAAUUCUAAUUUUAGGAUAAUAGAGGGGCUAAAUCCUAAAUUCUAUGCUUUGAGAAAAUAUAUAAAGGUCUUUAUUAUUUUUGCAGGUUGAUAUACCCUCUUAUUUUGUUGGUUUUAUACUGACGAACUGUAACCUUCCAACUAAAAAUUAUGGAGCUAUUAUAUUAGCACACCCUUCGCCAAUCGUAUUCUCUCCCAUUAGCAGCACUGAAAUUCGUUGCAUGGUGAAUGUUCCUAGUGAAAAGGUACCUUCAGUUUCCAAUGGUGAAAUGGCAUGUUACUUGAAAACUCAGGUGGCUCCCAAGGUAUAUUUAGAUCUUUCUUUUCUUCAUUCAUUAGGGGAAUUUGGCUUAAUUUAUGGACGAACUGUAUGGCUUAUAAUACAUUUCAGGUUCUUCCUGAAUUGUACGAUUCCUUUAUAUCAGCAAUAGAGAAGAAGGGUAACAUAAGAAUAGCGCCGAAUAAAAUUAUGGCUGCUGCUCCACACCUGACUCCUGGUGCGCUUUUGAUUGGAGAUGCACUCAACAUGCGGCACGCUAUAACCGGAGGGGGAAUGACUGUUGCUCUGUCUGAUGUUGUAAUACUUAGGGAUCUUCUAAGACCCUUGCAUGAUCUAUCCGAUGCAUCCACCAUUUCUAAAUAUCUCGAAUCUUUUUACAC
rnacentral:lncRNA from 1 species